GGACACCAAAAGCCAAACCUAUCCCAAGUGGCGACUCUGAAAUAAAUAAAUAAUCCAAUUUUCGAAUAAUAUCACUUAAAAUUGAAAAACUCCCACACGAAUUUAUCAUUCAGGGUAGGUGCGCAAAAAGGAGAUGUGACACUGUGCAAUUGUGGGCUGUAGUAGGCUACCUAGGUUGAGGUCCAUGCAAGUUGGCUAGGACUCAACACUCAUAAUAAAAAUGAUGUCAUUAAUUAUUGACUUACAACAUGCUCCCACUAACUCAAAGUAGUUUUUAAAUCACUGGAAAGUCAAGUCAGAGUAAUUUGUACUCUGUCACACCAUGAUGAAAAAUAACGGGAUAAUUGUUCUAUCCUGAAUUCACGAGAAGAUAUUGUGUUCCCUUGGAACAAUGACAGGAAAUUCAAUGGUCAAAGGAGGGAGUCUGAUCGCAUGAAGAAAAAGACUUUCUGGAUCAGUGACCGGGCAAUGUUCAGAUGAGGGACUCCAUAUCUAACAUGCCCGGUCAAACUCAAGAUAGUGGAGCGACUUGAGUUUGAACCACCGGGAAGUUAAGGCAAUAUGGUAAGGAGGUAGUGUUGUUGAAGAAGCUUUCAGACUGCAGCCUUUAGUAACAUACUGAAAAAGUUUUUCCAUCUUUUUUUCCUCACCUUCAAUCAUAAGCAGUUCAUUCUUGUGGCUGGAUAGUUGAAAGCUGAUGUCAUUUAAUUCCCUACAAAGACUCUACCUGUUGGGUAUUUCAUAAGUAGGAACACUGAUUUCACUUCUUCAACUUGUUGUAUUGGCAUUCUGUUGAUUUCAUUUUUCUUGAGAUGGUCAUGUUCAUGUCCUGAUGCACCGAUCCAUAGGUGUGAAACUAUGGUGAAGGAAGACAUUAAAAUGAUGGGCAGACCUAAAAUCACAUGAAAGGAACUUGUCUCGAGAGACCUACAAAUUCUUGUAGUGUAGGUUGCAUUCCUCCAUGCCGCUUAUGAAUGGUGUAUCAUUUGGUUAUGAAAUUAUAAGGCCUUUGGGUUUCUUUCUUAUUAAGUUCUCUUCCACUGUUCUUUGCACAUCUGCUUGCCUUUGUCUACCUUAUUUCCUCCUUCUUGACAGGUCUUGGUCAUCUUACUUUUGUACUAACUCUAUCUUACCUACAGGGAGGUCUUAUGGUGACUAGAAUGGCAUAUAUGGCCAGGGAAUAUCAGAAGAAGCAUUAGGCUGAAAAACCUGAAGUUGCACAAGCGAAUCAAAGAUAUAAAGAACAAGCAAAUGAGGUGUUUAUGAGACUGUUUCUUCUAGAGCUGAAGAAUGUUUCCAGUACUUGGGAUUGGAAGCAAGAGAAGUCUCUCAAGCAGAAGAAGAUAGCUUUCACUAUGCAUGAGGAGUGUCGUCAGGCUAUCAUGGAUCAUUUCAAGCGUUGAGUACUGUAAGAAGCAAAGAGAAGCCAGGGAAACUACCCCUGCAACAAGUGGCGGAGCCAGAAUUUACAUCAAGGGGUGUCUAAUAUAAAUAUAAAUAUAAAUAUAUAUAUAUCAAAAAAUUUAGGGGAGUCAACAUAUAGUAAAUAUACAUAAAAUAGAAAAAAUUAUCUAGCAAUACAAUGUAAUUUUCCGUUGUUGUUGAAUGUGGCUCUGCCAUUGUCUGCAACUUUGCAUAGCAUAUAAGAGCUUAGACAUAGUUAUUAAGUAUCAAAGAAUUUGAUGAAAGUUUAUGUUGAAAAACAUAGUAUGCAUAAUUUGAGAUAGUCAUUUAUGCAUUUAGAAAGAACCACUUCUUUUAAUCACGUGAAACAUUUAUUGCGCUCUAAUGUUCUGGCAAGGAGCUUCCUCACGGUGAGCUCGCUAUUUGCCUUAAUCUAUGUACUGUCUCCCUAGGCAGCCUGGUAGUGCUCCGUGGUAUUGCCAAGCCAUGCGAGCUAACCGUGGGGAGGCAGCUUUUUUGCUCGGACUUCAAAUUGUGAUGUUUUUGUUGCUAUUUUGUCAUUCCAACACUCUUCCAAAUCAUACCAAACGCCCAUUAUCACGCCUCCAUCAUAUCACCUACAUCAUGGGAUCCAGUUAACAUAUUUGUGACACUUUAAUCAUGUCAUUAGAUCGUAAUUGACGUUUAAAAGUAUGGGAUCUAUAUUUUCUCCCACUUAAUUAGGAACAUUCAUCCUUGAAGGUUAGACAUGUCAUUCUUAAGGCUACUAUUGAACAUAGACCUGCGUGCAAAAUAAUGUUAGAAACCGUAAGAAAAAUUGGCCAAACACGUUAUUGCUUGUCAGUACAUCUUUGCAGUAAGUCUUCUUACUUAUCUGUAUAUAUAAUAAGGCCUCGUUACAAAGACCUUUUAAGUUUUAAGUGUUGAAAUUUAAUAUUUAUUUAUAGUAUUAUUUUUAUAUUUAUCACUUAAUAGAAAAAGAUUAACGACCCGUUUACCAUAGAUUUUGCCAAAAUAUAUUUGGUUUUUUUUUUUUGGCAAAUACAUGUUUGGCCAUAGAUUUUAUCUAUAUUUUGGCAAAUUUCCAAAACCCAAAACCUAAAUCCCAAAACCAGCUCAAAAUAUCACUAUUAUAUUUUUUAAAAUUGCCCCAAACUUUUGUAUUUUAUAAAAGAGUCCAUCUUUUAUUAUUUUAUAACAAUGCUACUUCGUCUUCUCGGUCAUCUGAUAGUGUAUUAUGUAGUUCAUUAUAAAAAUGAUAAUUUUGUACCAAAUUUAUUUAUGUUCAGGACUAUGAUUUGCGAUAAUAUAAUAAAUGUUAUUGAUAAAGGCACCAUUGGGUAUUUAUGAUAGUUUUUCACCAUUGGGUAUUUAUGAUAGUUUUUAGAACUUGCGGGUAUAAGUCAUGUUCCAUGUUUUUCACAAAAAAAGUGAAAUAUGUUUUGAAAAUUUAUGUCCAAACACAUUUUCAUCUUCAAACCAAACUUCAUUCAAAUCAGAUUUUGCAAAAUAAUUUUGGGAAUCUAUGACCAAACGUUAGCUAAGAGGCCUGAAAUUUCAGGAUGCUGCUUCGCAGCACUAAAGUUUUAGCCUUGUGAGCCAAAAAUUUCCUUCUCUGUCUACUGUAAGAAUACAUAUUCCUUUUGUGAUUUAAAUUCAAUGUCUAGUGAUUAACUAAAAAUUUAGACACAACAAUCUUGAUUAAUUAAAAUUAUUUAUUAUGUUUGAAUCACAUAAGGAUAUUAAGGACUAAUGUUUAAGUGAUCUAAGUAUUUUUUCUAAUAAAAUUGCCACAACAUCUUUGGUUGAAUAAAAUUUAAAGUUAAGGAUAUCAUAAGGAAAAAGAUAUUGAUAUUGUAAUUGAUUAUGCAUAAUAUAAUAACUUCAGAACUUUUAUUAUAUUUUUGCAUAAUUGAUUAGGAUAAAAUAUUAAAUGUUAUUUCAUAAUUACCUACUGUCACACCUCUUUUUUCCGAGGGAAUGUGGAGUUUUUUCCAAUUAAAGUGACAUUAUUCAAAAUGAAAUUAUUUAUUUAAUUUAGAGUCUCCACUUGGAAUAAUUUAUGGUGUCCCAAGAUAGCAGUUUAUUUUAAAUCCCAAAUCGAGGAAAUUUGACUCUUAUUUAUGUCUGCGAACACAAAAGACCGAGUAAGGAAUUCUGUUAACCCGGGAGAAGGUGUGAGGCAUUCCCGAGUUUCGUGAGUUUAGCACGGUCUCUCAACUAGUAUUAAUUGGCCUAAUUAAGUGAAUUAUUACAUGUUUAGAGCCUAUUGUGCAUUUUUUACUUUCUAACCGCUUUUAUUUAACUGUUUUGAGUAUUUAUGGAAUUUAUUUGAACAAGUUGCGAUGUCGCGCACUCAUUUAUUUUUGUACACAUUGCGAAUCGUGUCACGUGAAACGCACCCGCGAUUUAUAAUUUAUUAUUAUUUAAAGUUAUGGUUGAGUCACGUAAAAUACACACUCGAAUUGGGAUUAUGCAUCAUGACUAUGCUACAGGAAUUGUACCCAUAGUCACGAUAAUUUAUUAGUCGCGCCUAAAGCAAGCUACGAUGUUCAUGAAUAAUUAUUAUUCCUAAGUUUGAGAUCGAUCAUGAAGGUCCAAAGUUUAUGGAAAAGCGUAUGAUAGUGCUUAACUAGACAACUUCAAUUAUUUAACAAGUUCAAAUUAAUAUCUUUUGUUCUUCCUUCAAUUAGCAAACCACUAAUAAUAAACUAAGUGGGUGUUCUUUUCUUGAUUACUUAUAUCAAACAUGGAUUAUUGCGAGAAAAAUUAUGGCAAGCCUCACUACGCUGGGCCUUCAUAUUAAACCUCCAAUCAGGUCAUGCAAACAAGAAUAGAAAUGGGUUCACUGGAGUCCGAAAGUGACUCUUGAAAAUGGCUAGCCCUUUAAGUAGGCCAACAAAUCUUUUGUGGGGACUUAAACCAUUAAUCCAUACAUUUGUCGAGUCCAAACUGACUCUCAUUUCAUACACGGUCCAUCGAUGUGUAGUUUUCUUAACGUGAUUUUGAAAGGCACAAAUCAAUAAAUACACAUGUUUAUACUACAACAUAUUCAACAUAUUGAAGAAACAGAACCAAAGAAGAACAUAGCCACACAUGUAAUUUCUUCUAACAAACUACAGUAUCAUCCAUUAUUACAUUCACAAUUACCAAGAUCUAGAGCAUAUAACAAAUUUACAUGCUUUCAGUUCCAUAUGACCUUCAACGAAUGACCUUCAGCUAUCCAAAUUUCCUAUGACUUUACCUGUUUCUCAUUAAAGAUUUAACCAAAUACUUGAUUUUUCCAGUAAUUUCAGAGAUUAAAGAAGGAAAGAACUUCAAAUAGAUUUAGACUUUAGACAUGUUGAAUCCAAACUAUUGAACAUAAUUAGAGAAAGCAGUAUCAUAAUCUUAACAUGGAAAUAAUAUAAAAUGCUUAAUAACUUCACAUGCUAAGUCUAUGCAUUUGGCCAUAAUUAUGACAAAUAGAUCGAAUUUUCUCAUAUAGACUUCAAACAGGGGCAACAGAUAUGUGAACAUACCUAAGUAACCAAAGAAUAAUAGAGAAUGGUCAAAGGAUGGUUUGAAAAUGAAAUAGGAAAUCCAGCAAGUCCAGCAACAGUGGAUUCAAUAACUUCAACACCUCUAUCAGCUCAAUCGACUCAGAGAAAACCAGAAAAUAUAGUGAUUGAAUAGAAAUCAGAAAACCAACUCUAGACUUCCUUCUUCAUCCCUUUUUAUGACCUUUUUCCUUGCCUUUUUGGGAGUUUUAAACUUUUUCUAAAUCUGAAGACUAGAGGUUGAAAUCCAGAUUUUUGUUUGAAUUAAAAAAAAUGAGGAGAAGAUAGUGAAUUCUCUUAAAAUUUCUCUCGACAGUGUGAAAAUUAGUCUCAAAAACGAAGAAAAGAGUAUGAAUUUCAGAGUGUGUUUUCGUGUGUGUGAGUGAGUAAUAUAUGGCCCUCUUAUAUAGAGUGUGAGAAUAUGUUAUGUGCACACAAAAAUUAGAGAAUAAUUCUGGAAUGUCAGUCUCUAAAUUUUAGGAAAAAAAGCAUUUUUUUCAACUGAAAAUUGACAGUUGUCCCUGUUUCUAGAUAAUUCUUUUUAUUUCCUACCUUUUAGCUUCUGAAAAUCACCUCUUUUAACCCAAAAUGACCUAAUUCUUUCAUCUUAUUGCAUUUUAGCCCUUUUUCUAGAAGCUUCUUCUAAGCUUUCAACAGAUGAAAUUGUUCUCAUCUUAAUCAAACAUGUACUGCCCUUCUUAUGGGCAGUACCCAGACAUCUGGGCUGCCUGGCCAGCAGACCCAACUCUUCAAGCUAAAAGCCAUGUCCAAUGGGCUUGCCUGUGAAUACAGCAUGCCCAACGUCUUAAUAAAAUACACCAAUCAAAUCUGCUAGUUGGCUGAAUUAAUCCUUAAUCUAAAUAUGCAGUUAAUUCUUAAUCUAAUCAUGAAAUUGAUUCCCAAUAUAAGAAACAACAAAUUAAGAGUUAUUACCAUACUAUGUGAACUUGAAAUUACUAAAUACAACAAAAAGAAAAAGAAAAGAAAAAAAAUGAUAAACUAAGAUAUGGAAUAAUAAAAUAGUGACUAACAAGGAAAGAAGAUCAAGCUACCUACUGGCUCCAAGUGAAAAGAGUGAGAAGGAACUCCCCAAAACUGUACAGGCCCGAGCACGAAACGUCCGAUUACUGCCUUGAACUUCAGCGGCUUCGAAACGAACUAAAACUGACAUAAAUCGAUUGCUCUCGUCAUGAGCAAACGAUUCACGUAAGUUUGAGUCGAAUCGAAUCAAAUAUCAAAGAUAAACAAGAAAAAAAAGAAAACAGUUAGGAUUUUUGGGAUUCUAAGAUAAAAAAUUUGUGAGAUUUGAGUGGCUUUUUGGGGAAAUUGAUGAGGGGAUAGAGAUGAGGAGGGUGAGGAUUAUGAGGUGUUAAUUUAGGGUGGUUUGGAGUGGCACUGUAACGAUCUGACCGGUCGUUUUGAGCUUUUGCACUUUGCUCGCCAGUUCUCGGGCAUGGAUAGUCCCGUGUGAUGUAUUAUCACUCAUGUAAACCGUUGGUUUUGGUUUUCAGGGUAAUCAGAAUGAAUUUUGAAGGACAGUUCUCAGUUUGAAGCUUGAAAUUUGGAAGGUUUGACUGAGAUUUGACUUGUUUGAAUAUGAUCUUGGAUAGGAGUUUUUAUGAUUUGGUUAGUUCUGUUAGGUUAUUUGGGACUUAGGAGCGUGAUCGAAAUGCAUUUUGGAUGUCCGUAGAAUAUUUAGGCUUGAAUUGGCGAAAUUGAGAUUUUGGCAUUUUUUGGUUGACAGGUGAGAUUUUGAUAUAGGGGUCGGAAUGGAAUUUCGAAAGUUUCAGUAGCUCCGUUGUAUCAUUUUUGACGUGUGUGCAAAAUUUUAGGUUAUUCGGACAAUGUUUGGUAGACUUUUUGAUCGAAAGCGGAAUCUGGAAGUUCUUGGAAUUCUUAGGCUCGAAUCCGAUGUGAUUUUUGUGUUUUGAUGUUGUUUUGAGUGUUCCGAAGGUUGGAACAAGUUCGAAUGAGGUUAUGGGAUAUGUUGGCAUGUUUGGUUGUGGUCCCGAGGGGCUCGAGCACGUUUUCAGAUUGAUUCCGGGCUAUUUUUCCUUCAUGUUUCACUACUGUAUUCUGCUGAUAUCUGGUGCCUCAGUAUUUCAUCGCGUUUGCGAGGCACGUGUCGUGAAUGUGUAGUGUAUUCUCAUGGCAGCAGCAAAUUUCUCUUCGCGAUCGCAAAGUUUGUCCCGCAUUCGUAUAGUGUUAGGUAAUGACUUCUUCGCGUUCACGUAUGGCAUAUCGCGUUCGCAUAGAGUCGGGCUAGGAGCUGGGCUGGAGAGCCUUUCUUCAUCGCGUUCGCGAGUCUUGGGACGCGUUCACAUAGCUUUGUAUCUAGUGUGUAUCGCGUUAGCGAGGCUGGUGCCGCGAACACAUAGAGCAUUUUUGAUGGCUGGUGUUUUUGUUCAUCGCGAACGCGAUGGUUAUACCACGUUCGCGAAGAUUGUUUUUGAUGUCUGGGCAGAAUGUUUAAAUAGUCAUUGUUCGCGAUUUUGGGGCUAACUUUCAUCAUUUUUGGAGCUUUUGAGAAGGAUUGAAGAUUGAAUCGAAGGGAAACACCUGGAGGUAAGAUUUUUGAACUCAAUACUCGAUCCUAUGUCUUACUUGUUUAAUCAUGAAAUAUGUAGAAAUUAAAGCCUAAAAUUGGGGAAUUAGGGCUUGAAUUUGGAUAGUGUAAAUUGGGAAUUUGAAGGGGCAAUUGAGGUCUGAUUUUGAUAUCCUUGGUGUGUAUAAACUCGUGAGAGGAUGGAGAUUCUAUUGAUGUGACAUUUAUCGGAUUUCGAGACGUGGGCCCGAGGGCCGGGUUUGAGCAAUUUUGGGAUUUUUGAUAUAAAUUGGAUAUUUUCGAGUGGGCUUUAUUCCUUUAACAUAUUUUAAUGGUAUGUUCUAAUUAUGGCUAGAUUUGGAGCAUCCGGAGGUCGAUUCAUGAGGGAAAAGGCAUCGCAGGCUAGAGUUGGACCGGAUCAAGGUGAGUAAUGAUUGUAAAUGAUGUCCUGAGGGUAUGAAACCCCAAAUUGCAUGUCGUUGUGCUAUAUUGAGGUGACGCACAUGCUUGAUGACGAGCGUGGUGUCGUGUGUUGUUGGGGAUUGUGACUUAGUCCGUCCCGAAUGACUAUUUUACCACGUAUUUGAUUGAAAUUUAUUUGUGAACAUCAUGUUUUGGGUUGAACGCCAUAUUUGGGCCUCGUGCCAACUAUUUGAACCCUUCGGGGAUUUUUAUUAAUAUUUCCUUACUGUUUAAACUUUAUAUUUGAACUCAGUCAUGUUAUAUUCCACUAUUUUCAUACUCAACCAUGUUUACUAUGUUUUAACACUUAAAUGAUCUUUUAAAUGAUAAUUGGGCUGAGAAUCAUGUUUUACUACUGCCGAGUGGCUUGUGAGGAUUUUUGACUGAGUAAGGCCUAGGGCCUAUGUUGUGAGGAAACACUGAUCAUGAUUUGAGGCUGAGGGCCUGCGAUAUGCACGCCACGAGGUGGCUUGUUGAUAUGAGGCCGAGAGCCUAGUGAUGAUGCCACGAGAUGACUUGAUAUUGCGCUUGGGCCGUAAGGGGCCCCUCUAGGAGUCUGCACACCCCCAGUGAGCGCCGAUACCUAUUGUGAUGUGAGAUAUAGCCCGAGGGGCUGGUAUUGUUCUGAGAUAUUGCCCGAUGGGCGGAUUUGUUGACUUUGUGCCCGAGGGGCGAACCUUUAUGUGUUUAUCUUUCUUAUUUGUUUUCCAUUACCUGUUUAAUUGUUGAAAAGGUAUUUCCCUGAAGUUUAACUAAACUUAAAUGAUUUUUUCGUAUUUUUACUGGUUUUACUGCUUUAUUAUAGCCUGUAAUGUGCCUUACGUGCUUUUUUAUAUCUCAGUCGUUUAUUUAUGAUUAUUACUCACUGAGUUGGAGUACUUACUUUACUCCCUGCACCCUAUGUGCAGAUUUAGGCACAUCUGGUCCCGCUCCCGAGUGCUGAUCUUUCCAGCUCAGGCAGAUCCUAGGAGUCUCUAGGUAGCUGUCGGCGUUCGCACCCCAGAGCUUCUUCCCUAUCUUAUUUCUCCUUGUCUUAGUUUUGUAUUGAACUCUAUAGACUUUUCUUGAUUAUUCCGGAUUUUAGAUGCUCAUGACUAGUGACACCCCAGUAUCGGGCUGUGUUGAGUUUUAUUUCCGCAAACUGUACUGUUAACAGAAAAUAACAGAAAAUGAUCAAAGGAUGGUCUAAGAAUGAAAGAGGAAAUCCAUCAAGUCCAGCAGCAGUGGAUUCAAUAACUUCAACACCUCUAACAACUCAAUCGACUCGGAGAAAACCAGAAAAUAUAGUGAUUGAAUAGAAAUCAGAAAACCAACUCUAGACUUCCUUCUUCUUCCCUUUUUAUGACCUUUUUCCUUGCCUUUUUGGGAGUUCUGAACUUUUUCUAAAUAUGAAGACUAGAGGUUGAAAUCCAGAUUUUUGUUUGAAUUAAAAAAAAUUAGGAGAAGAUAGUGAAUUCUCUGAAAAUCUCCCUCGUUAGUGUGAAAAUCAGUCUCAAAAAUGAAGAAAAGAGUAUGAAUUUCAGAGGGUGUUUUCGUGUGUAUGAGUGAGUGACAUAUGGCCUCUUAUAUAGAGUGUGACAAUCUGUUAUGUGCACAGAAAAAUCAGAGAAUAAUUCUGGAAUGUCAGUCCCUAAAAUUUAGAAAAAGCAUCUUUUUCAACUAAAAAUGGAUAGCUGUCCUUGUUUCUAGAUAAUUCUUUUUAUUUCCUACCCUUUAGCUUCUAAAAAUCACAUUUUUAACCCUAAACUGACCUAAUUCUUUCAUUUUAUUGCACUUUAGCCCUUUUUCUAGAAGCUUCUUCUAAGCUAUCAACAAAUGAAAUUGUUCUCCUCUUAAUCAAACCUGUACUACCUUUCUUAUGGACAAUACCUAGACAUCUGGGCUGCCUGGCCAGCAGGCCCAACUCUUCAAGCUAAAAGCCAUAUCAAAUGGGCCUGCCUGUCAAUAUAGCAGGCCCAACAUCUGAACAAAAUACACAAUCAAAUCUACUAGUUGGCUGAAUUAAUCCUUAAUCUAAGAAACAACAAAUUAAGAGUUAUUACCAUCCUACUUGAACUUGAAAUUACUAAAUGCAGCAAAAAGAAAAAGAAAAGAAAAGAAAAAGCUGAACCGAGAGAUGGAAUAAUAAAAUACUGACUAAUAAGGAAAGAAGAUCGAUCUACCUACUGGCUCCAAGUGAAAAGAGUGAGAAGGAAGUCCCCAAAACUGUAUAGGCUCGAGCACGAAACGUCCCAUUACUGCCUUGAACUUCAGUGGCUUCGAAACAAACUAAAACUAACAUAAAUUGAUUGAUCUCGUCAAGAGCAAUUGAUUCACGUAAAUUUGAGCCGAAUCGAAUCAAAUCUCAAAGAUAAACAAGAAAAAAAGAAAAAAAACUAGGGUUUCUGGGAUUCUAUGAUCUAAAAUUUAUGAGAUUUGAGUGGCUUUUUGGGGAAAUUGAUGAGGGGUUAGGGAUGAAGAGGGUGUGAGGAUUAUGAGGUGUUAAUUUGGGGUGGUUUGGAGUGGCGCCGUCGCCAUGGACGGUUUUCGGCGACGCAGAUGGCUGGGGUGAGAGAGUGGUGAGGGAGGUGAGUUUUUGGGAGGUCUCUAGGGUUUGGGAGGGGGGGGGGGGGGUCCAAUUCGGAUAGUUAUAAGGGGGGCAGGUGAUGAGUUGUGGACCGUAAAAUCGAUAAGAGAUCAACGGAUGAGAUUUGUUUGGGGGUAAAACACGGGCGUUUUAAUUAAAGAGGGAGAUGGACCGGUUUGGUUGGUGAAGAUUUGGCUGGGAGGUGAGUUUGACCAGAUUUUAUAAUUGGGCUGAUGGCGUUUUGCCCAAUUUGCACACAAGGCAAAUGGCCUCUUUCAUUUUCUUUAUUUUUCUUUCUUUUUCUUUGAUGUUAAAACUCUAAUUUUAUUAAUUUAAACAAGCUAAGUAAAAUCUUAAAUUAGACUUUAACUUAAAUUACUUUGUAAAAUUAAUCUUAUUUAUUUUCACUAAUUUAACACUAAUCAAUUUAAAACUAAAAGCUAAAAUGUAGACAUGACUAUUGUAUUUUUUUUUUUGUAAUUUUUGUUUAAUAAUACAAUUAAUUCAUGUAAUUACAUCCAAAAUGCAAUUAACAUCUAACAUGCUAUGUAAUGAAACAUUGAACAUUUUUGGUGUUUUUCUAUGAUUUUAAGAUAUUAAAUAUGCACGAAAAAUGAAACUAAUUGUAAACAAUUUAACAAAAAUUCCUAAAUUUUUUGUCAUGAUCCUAAACCCGGACCAGGUCGUGAUGACGCCUCUCGUGAAGACAAGGCCAGCCGACACAUUCCCAUUUCACUUUUAAGCAAUUAAGAUAAUAAAUAUUAAGUCUUAAACAUGAUAAAAUCUCAAAAUAAGCAGUAAACAGUACAGUUUGUGGAACUAAAAUCCAACACAGCUCGAUACCGGGGUAUCAUCAGUCAUGAGCAUCUAUCAAUUUAAUACAAGUCUAAAGAGUCUACAAAGAUACUACAGAGUUACUAAUAAGGGAAAGGAAAUGAAAUAAAGGGGGAGAAGCACGGGGCUGCGGACGCCAAACAACUACCUCGUGAACUCCGAAAUAUGCCAGGAGUUCUCAACUCUCGCAAGCAGGAUUAGCAACGCCUGAAUCUGCACACGAGAUGCAGGGAGUAAAGUGAGUACUCCAACUCAGUGAGUAAUAAUCAUAAAUAAAGGAUGAGAAGUAAGAAAUCACGUAAGGCACAACACAGACUAUAAGAAAGCAGUAAAAGCCAGUAAAAACAAUGAAGCAGUAAAGAUGUGUAAAGCCACUGAGUUCAGUUUAAACUUCAUAAAAUGCCUUUUGAAACAAUUAAGCAAGUAAAUGAUAGUCAAAUAGGAAAGAUAAACAAAUAAAGGAUCGCCCCUCGGGCACAAUGUCAACAAAACUGUCCCUCUGGCAAUAUCUCAGAAACAAUACCAGCCCCUCAGGCUAUAUCUCACAUCACAAUAGGUACCCACGCUCACUGGGGGUAUGCAAACUCUUGGAAGGGCCCCUUACGUCCCAAGUGCAAUAUCAAGCCAUCUCUGGCAUCAUCACUAGGCUCUCGACCUCAUAUCAACAAGCCACCUCGUGGCGUACAAAUCUCAAGCCCUUGGCCUCAUAAUCAUAAUCAGUAUUUCCUCACAAUAUAGGCCAUCGGCCUUACUAAGUUAGAAUCUCACAACCACUCGGGCAACGGUAAAAUAUGGUGCUCAGCCCAAAAUAUCAUUUAAAACAUCAUUUAAGUGUUAAAGUAGAGUAAACAUGGCUGAGUUAUGAAAAUAUUGGAAUAUAGCAUGACUGAGUUCAAGUAUAAAGUUAAAACAAUGAGGAAAUAUCAAUGAAAAUCCCAUAAGGGUUCAAAUAGUUGGCACGAGGCCUAAAUCUGGCAUUUAGCCCAAAACAUGAUGAUAACAAACAGUUUUCAGUCAAAUAUGCGGUAAAAUAGUCAUUCAGGACGGACUAAGUGACAAUCCCCAACAGUGCACGACCCCAUGCUCGUCAUCUAGCGUGUGUGUCACCUCAAUACAGCAUAACAAUGUGCAAUCCGGUGUUUCAUACCCUCGAGACAAUCUUUACAAUCAUUACUCACCUUAAUCCGGUCCAAACUCUAGCCUGCGACGCCUUUGCCCCUCGAAUUGGCCUCCACUCGCAUCAAAUCUAACCAAAUCAGAAUCACGACGUCAAAAUAUGCUAAGGGAAUGAAGCCCAAGCAAAAAUAAUCAAUUUACAACACAAAUCCCGAAAUUACCAAAACCCGACCCCCAGGCCCGCGUCUCGGAAUUUGAUAAAAUUCACAUCAAUGGAUUCCUUAUCACUCCCUGAGUUCAUUCAUACCGAAAGCAUCAAAAUCCAACCACAAACGACCCCUCAAAUCCCAAAUUCCAAGUCUCCAAUUUCAAGCCUUAGUUCUUCAAUUUUAAGCUUACAUUCCAUGAUUAAUUAGGUAGAAUUCAUAUUAGAAUCGAGUAUUAAGUCUAUGAAUCUUACCUCCAAGUGUUUCCCCUUGAAUCCCUCAUCAAUCCUCUUCAAAAAGCUCCAAAAUUUCUCAAAAUGGUGGAAAUAAACACCAAAAUCGCGGACAAGACGACUAUUUAAAUAUUCUGCCCAGGCAUCAAUUCCUUCUUCGCGAACGCGGUCAACGCCUCGCGUUCGCGAAGCACAAACCAACUUUGACCAAAAAAUCCUGUACGCGAAUGUGAUGGCUCCUCAGCUUGACCCUCCGCGAUCGCGCUACCUCUCUCGCGAACACAAUGAAUAAAACACCUUGAACCCAGCUUCCCAAUUUCCUCUACACGAACGCGGAGCCUCCCUCGCGAACGCGAUGCACAAUAAUCCAACCCUUGCGAACGCGGAGCCUUCCUCACGAACGUGAAGGCUAAAAUCUCAGACUCCUCAACUAACCCUUCGCGAUCGCGGCUCCCCUCUCGCGAAUGCGAAGGUCAUUUGUCUGCAACACUGAGCAGCAGGUUUCUGCACUUCUCAACAACAAGAAAUGGUCCGAUUGACCACCUGAAACUCACCCGAGGCCCUAGGGACCUUAACCAAAUAUGCCAACAUAUCCCAUAACAUCAUUCAAACUUGUUCCAACCUUCGAAACGCUCAAAACAACAUCAAAACACCAAAUUCGCAUCAGAUUCAAACCUAAGAAUUCCAAAAAUCUUCUAAAUUAUGCUUUUGAUAAAAAACCUAACCAAACCACGUCCGAAUGACAUGAAAUUUUUCACACACAUCCCAAAUGACACAACAGAACUACUACAACUCUCGGAAUUCCAUUACGACCCCUAUAUCAAAAUCUCACCUAUCAACCGGAAAUCGCCAAAAAUCCAAUUUCGCCAAUUCAAGCCUAAAUCUACUCCGAACCUCCAAAACUCAUUCCUAUCACGCUCCUAAGUCCCAAAUCACCUCCUGAAGCUAUUUGAACCAUCGGAACUCACAUAAAAUCCAUCUAACACAUAAGUCAAUAUCCGGUUGACUUUUCCAACUUAAGCUUCCUCAAAAGAGACUAAGUGUCUCAAACCUUAUCAAAUCCUUUCCGAACCCGAACCAACCAAUCCGAUCACAUAUAGAACCGAUAAACAAGGCAAUAAGAAGCAGAAAUGGGGGAAACGGAGCGGCAACUCAUGAGAUGACUGGCUGGGUCAUCACAUCCUCCCCCUCUUAAACAAACGUUCGUCCUCGAACGAGUCAAGAAACAUACCUGAAGCCUCAAACAGGUGAGGAUAUCUACUCUGCAUCUCCCGUUUGGUCUAACAGUUAGCCUCAUCCAUGGGCCGACCUCUCCACUACACUUUCACUGAAGCUAUAUCCUUUGAUCUCAACUUCCGAACCUGAUGACCCAAAAUGGCUACUGGCUCCACAUCAUAGGUCAAAUCAUCAUCUAACUGAACCGUGAUGAAAUCUAGAACAUGAGACAGAUCCCCAAUAUACUUCCGGAGCAUAGAAACAUGAAAUACCGGAUGCACACUUCACAAGCUGGGUGGCAAAGCAAGCUCAUAGGCCACCUCCCCAAUCCUCCAAAGCACCUUAAAAUGCCCAAUGAACCGAGGACUCAAUACCCUUCUUCCCAAAUCUCAUAACACCCUUCAUGGGUGAAACCUUCAACAGAAUUUUCUCACCAGCCAUGUAGGACACAUCUCAAACCUUCCUAUCAGCAUAACUCUUUUGCCUCGACUGUGCUGUACAAAGCCUCUCCUGAAUCACCUUUACUUUUUCUAAAGUAUUUUCACCAAAUCUGUCCCCAGUAGCCUAGCCCCACCUAGCUCAAACCAACCAACUGGAGAUCUACACAGCCUCCCAUACAAAGCCUCAUAUGGAGCCAUCUAAAUACUCGACUGGUAGCUGUUGUUAUAAGCAAACUCUGCAAGUGGUAGAAACUGAUCCCAUGACCCUCCGAAAUCAAUGACACAAGCACAUAACAUGUCCUCCAAUAUCUGAAUAAUGCGCUCGGACUGCCCGUCCGUCUGAGGGUGAAAAGCUGUGCUCAACUCAACCUGAGUACCCAACUCUCGCUGCACAGACCUCCAAAACUGCAAAGUACACUCAAUGCCCCUAUCUAAGAUGAUGGAAGCUGAGACACCAUGCAAAUGAACAAUCUCCCAGAUAUAGAUCUCUGCCAACCGCUCUAAAGAAUAAGUAGUACACACAGGAAUGAAGUGCGCGGACUUGGUCAGCCAAUCCACAAUCACCCAAACAACAUCGAACUUUUUCAAAGUCCGUGGAAGUCCAACUACAAAGUCCAUAGUGAUCUGCUCCCACUUCCACUUUGGAAUAUCCAUACGCUAAAGCAAGCCACCCGGUCUCUGAUGCUCAUAUUUCACUACUGACAAUUGAGACACCGAGCUACAAAUCCCAUAAUGUCUUUCUUCAUUUUCCUCCACCAAUAAUGCUGCCUCAAAUCCUGAUACAUCUUUGCGGCACCUGGAUGAAUGGAAUACCACGAGCUAUGGGCCUCCUCCAGAAUCAACUCCCGAAGCCCAUCUAAUUUGGGCACACAGAUCCGGCCCUGCAUCCUCAACACCCCAUCAUCACCAAUGGUCACAUCUCUGGCAUCAUCAUGCUGAACUCUAUCCUUAAGGACAAGCAAAUGCGGAUCAUUAUACUGGCAUUCUCUGAUGCGAUCAUAUAAGGAAGACCGAGAAACCACACAAGCCUAUACCCGGCUGAGCUCCAAAAUAUCUAACCUCACGAACCGAUUGGUCAGGGCCUGGACAUCAACUACAAGAGGUCUCUCCCCAACUGGAAUAUAUGCCAAACUCCCCAUACUCACCGCCUUUCGGCUCAAAGCAUCGGCCACCAUAUUGUCCUUUCCCAGAUAAUACAAUAUAGUGAUAUCAUAAUACUUUAGCAGCUCCAACCACCUCCGCUACCUCAAAUUAAGAUCCUUUUGCUUGAACAAGUGCUGGAGGCUACGAUGAUCAGUAAACACCUCACGAGACACACCAUACAAGUAGUGCCUCCAAAUCUUCACCGCGUGAACUAUGACAACCAACUCUAAAUCAUGAACGGGGUAGUUCUUCUUAUGGGGCUUCAACUGAUGAGAAGCAUAACUAAUAACUCUACCCUCCUGCAUCAGUACACAACUAAUACCAACUCUCGAAGCAUCACAAUACACAGUAUAUGAACCUGAAGGUGAUAGCAAAACUAACACUGGAGCUGUGGUCAAGACUGUCUUAAGCUUCUAAAAGCUCUCCUCACACUUAUCCGACCACACAAAUGAAGCACCCUUCUGAGUCAACUUGGUCAAGGUCAAUGCGAUAGACGAUAAUAGCCUGUCAAAUCAAGAAAUCUGCAAAUCUCUGUGGCUGAGGACGGUCUAGGCCAAUUCUGAACCGCCUCUAUCUUCUUCGGAUCAACUUGAAUACCCUCGCUGGAUACCACGUGCCCUAAGAAAGCCACUGAACUGAGCCAAAACUCACACUUGGAGAAUUUUGCAUAAAGCUUCUCCUCCCUCAAUCUCUGCAACACAACUCUUAAAUGUUCUGCAUGCUCCUCCUAACUACGCGAAUACACCAGAAUAUCAUCAAUGAAGACUAUGAAAAACGAGUCGAGAUAAGACCGGAACACGCUGUUCAUCAGAUGCAUGAACACUGCUGGGGCAUUAGUCAGCCCAAAAGACAUCACCAAAAACUCAUAAUGACCAUAUCGGGUCGUAAAAGCCGUCUUAAGAAUAUCCGAGUCGCUGAUCUUCAACUGGUGGUAACCUAAACGGAGAUCAAUCUUGGAGAACACUCUCGCUCCCUGAAGCUUGUUGAAUAAAUCAUCAAUGCGAGGCAAAUAAUACUUGUUAUUAACUGUUACUUUGUUCAAUCGCCUAUAAUCAAUGCACAUACUCAUAGUGCCAUCCUUCUUCUUCACAAAUAAAACCGGCACACUCCAAGGUGACACACUAGGCCGAAUGAACCCCUUAUCAAGGAGUUCAUGAAACUGAUCCUUUAACUCCUUCAACUCCGCUGGUGCCAUACGAUACGGCGGAAUAGAAAUAUGCUGAGUGCCCAGCACCAAGUCAAUACCAAAAUCAAUAUCCCUGUCCGGUGGCAUGCCCGACAGGUCUGCAAGGAACACAUCGGGAAAAUCCUUCACAAUUGGAAGAGAAUCAAUACUGGGAGUCUCUACACUGACAUCCUUCACAAAGGCUAGAUACGAAAGACAACCCUUCCUAACCAUACAUUGGACCUUCAAGAAUGAGAUCACUCUACUAGGAACAUAAUUAGUCACAUGUCACCACUUAAUUCGUGGCACACCUAGUAUAGCCAAUAUAACUGUCUUAGCAUGGCAGUCCCGAAUAGCACGACACAGAGAUAGCCAAUCCGUGCCCAAAAUGACAUCAAAAUCCACCAUACACAAUAAUAAAAGAUCUACUCAGGUCUCCAAACACUCAAUAGUCACCACACACGAUCGGUACACGCGGUCUAUAACAACAGUAUCGCCCACCGGGGUAGAUACAUAAACAGGUAAAGCAAAAGACUCAUAGGGCAUACCUAAAUAACGAGCAAAGUAUGAUGACACAUAAGAAAAGGUGGAACCAGGAUAAAAUAAUACAAAAGCAUCUCUGUGGCAGACUAAAACAAUACCUGUAAUAACAACAUCGAAAGCAAUAACAUCAGGUCUAGCGGAAGUGCAUAGAAAUGGGCCUGACCGCCACCUGAUCGACCUCCCCCUCUAGGGCGACCCCUAGUUGACUGACCUCCACCCCUAGCUGGCUGGGCGGGUAGUGGUGAAGUAACAGGCGCUGAAGCCGAUGGCUGACCCCUCUGCUGAGAUAAACCCGCAAGACGACGAGGACACUGCCUCCACAUAUGACCCAUCUCUCCACACUCAUAACAACUCCUAGGUGUUGGAGAAGGGGACUAAAGGGAACCNNNNNNNNNNNNNNNNNNNNNNNNNNNNNNNNNNNNCCACGAUAACCUAGGCAAGCUGGCUGAGCAAGCCUGAAUGGAUGACCUCUGUUGUACUGAAACUGACCUCUCGAAGGAGCACCACUAUAAUUACCAGAUCCUCGAGGCCUCUUGGCCUCCCUCUCCUAGUGACGUAUAGACUCAAUCUCACGAGCAAUGUCUACAACCUCCUCAAAGGUAGCACCAGUCACCCUCUCACUGGUCAUGAGAAUAUAAAGCUGAUAAGUGAGGCCAUCAACAAACCUCCUAAUCCUCUCUCUAUCUAUUGGAACUACCCAAAUCGCAUGACGAGCUAACUUGGAGAACCUCAUCUCAUACUGCGUCGCAGUCAUCUCUCUCUAACGCAACCACUCAAACUGCCUGAGCAGCUCCUCUCUGCGAGUUUACGGUAUAUACUUCUCCAGAAAGAGAACGGAGAACUGCUGCCAGGUAACGGGUGCUGCACCAAUAGGCUUACGCCUCUUAAAAGCCUUCCACCAAGUGAAGGCAACUCUAGAAAACUGCUAAGUAGUGAAAGCGGCCCCGCUGGUCUCCAGAAUACUCGUUGUACGAAUCAUCCUUUGACAUUUUCCAAGAAACCCUGGGCAUCCUCACCCUAUGCACUGCUGAAGGUCGGAGGCUGAAGUCUACCAAAACCUCUCCAACCUACGCUGCUUGUCCUCUGGCAUGGCAGGAACUACAUAGUCCUAAGCAGCUGCAACCGGCUGGGCUGGAUGCGCCCCCGGGGUAUGAAGUCCCUGCACGACCUGCUCAGGUGUGCGAGCGGCGGGCAUCUGAAUGCCUCCCCCGGCCUGAGAAGUAGCUGCGGAUGUAGUAGUGGAGACCGCCUGAGCUAGGCCAGUGCAAACUGAUAGAAUCUGAGCCAAGGCCUCCUGAAGACCCUGAAUCACAAUAGGAACAACUAGUGACUGAGAUGGUGCUGCUGGAGCGACCACAACUGGGACCUGAUCCUGAACUGGGGCGGCUGGUGGAUGUGCAGGUGCUGCUCUAGCUACUGUACGGGCUACACCUCUGCCCCUACCGCGACCACGACCGCGUCCUCAGCCUAUAGUGGCCACAGCUGGUGGUACGGGUGGUCGUCCAUCCGGACUAGUAGCGAGUGUCCUCACCAUCUGUGAGAAAAUAGAAUAACAGAGUUUCGUACUCUGAUCAACAAAUUCGCACGACAAAAAUUUCAAGAAUAUGAAGUUAUUCCUAAAGGUUUUGCAGCCUCUCGAGGAUAAAUACAAACGUUUCCUUACCAAUCUACGAGACUCUACUAAACCUACUCAUAACUCGUGAGACCUAUGUAACCUAGGCUCUGAUACCAACUUGUCACGACCCUAAACCUGGACCUGGUCGUGAUGGCGCCUCUCGUGAAGACAAGGCCAGCCGACACAUUCCCAUUUCACUUUUAAGAAAUUAAGAUAAUAAAUAUUAAGUUUUAAACAUGAUAAAAACUCAAAAUUAGCAAUAAACAGUACAGUUAGUGGAACUAAAACCCAACACAGCCCAAUAUCGAGUAUCACCAGUGAUGAGCAUCUAUCAAUUUAAUACAAGUCUGAAGAGUCUACAAAGCUACUACAGAGUCACUAAUAAAGGAAAGGAAAUGAGAUAAAGGGGGAGAAGCACGGGGCUGGGGACGCCGAACAGCUACCUCGUGAACUCCGAAAUCUGUCAGGAGCUCUCAACCCUCGCAAGCAGGAUCAGCAUCGCCUGAAUCUGCACACAGGGUGUAGGGAGUAAAGUGAGUACUCCAAAUCAGUGAGUAAUAAUCAUAAAUAAAGGUUGAGAAGUAAGAAAUUACGUAGGGCACAACAUAGGCUAUAAGGAAGCAGUAAAAGCCAGUAAAAACAAUGAAGCAGUAAAGAUGUGUAAAGCCACUGAGUUCAGUUUAAACUUCAUAAAAUGCCUUUUUAAAUAAUUAAGCAAGUAAAUGAUAGGCAAAUAAAAACAUAAAGGAUCGCCCUUUGGGCAUAAUGCCAACAAACCGCCCCUCGGGAAAUAUCUCAGAAACAAUACCAGCCCUCGGGUUAUAUCUCACAUCACAAUGGGUACCCAUGCUCACUGGGGGUGUGCAGACUCCUGGAGGGGCCCCUUACUGCCCAAGCGCAAUAUCAAGCCAUCUCGUGGCAUCAUCACUAGGCUCUCGGUCUCAUAUCAACAACCUACCUCGUGGCGUACAAAUCUCACCCCCGACCUCAUAAUCACAAUUAGUGUUUCCUCACAACAUAGGGCCUUAGCCUUACUCAGUUAGAAUCUCACAGCCACUCGGGCAACAGUAAACGUGGUGCUCAGCCCAAAAUAUCAUUUAAGGGUUAAAGCAGAGUAAACAUGACUGAGUUAUGAAAACAGUGGAAUAUAGCAUGAUUGAGUUGAAGUAUAAAGUCAAAACAGUGAGGAAAUAUCAAUAAAAAUCCCCUAAGGGUUCAAAUAGUUGGCACGAGGCCCAAAUAUGGCAUUCAACCCAAAAAAUGAUGAUAACAAACAAUUUUCAGUCAAAUACGCGGUAAAAUAGUCAUUCGGGAUGGAUUAAGUCAUAAUCCCCAAUAGUGCAUGACCCCACACUCGUCAUCUAGUGUGUGCGUCACCUUAAUAUAGCACAACGAUAUGCAAUCCGAGGUUUCAUACCCUCAGGACAAUCUUUACAUUCAUUACUCACCUCAAUCCGGUCCAAACUCUAGCCCGAGAUGCCUUUGCCCCAUCGGCCUCCACUAGCAUCGAAUCUAACCAAAAUCAGAAUCACAACGAUAAAAUAUGCUAAGGGAAUAAAGCUCAAAUGAAUAUAAUCAAUUUACAACAUAAAUCCAGAAAUUACCAAAACCCGACCCCAGGCCCACGUCUCAGAAUUCCAUAAAAUUCACAUCAAUGGAUUCCUUAUCACUCCCCGAGUUUACUCAUACCAAAAGCAUCAAAAUCCAACCACAAACGACCCAUCAAAUCCCAAAUUCUAGGUCUCUAAUUUCAAGCCCUAUUUCUUCAAUUUUAGGCUUACAUUCCAUGAUUAAUUAGGUAGAAUUCACAUUAGAAUCGAGUAUUAAGUUCAUGAAUCUUACCUCCAAGUGUUUCCCCUUGAAUCCUUCUUCAACCCUCUUCAAAAAGCUCCACAAUCGCUCAAAAAUGGUGGAAAUAAAACCCAAAAUCGCGGACAAGACGACUAUUUAAACAUUCUGCCCAUGCAUCAAUUCCUUCUUCGCGAACGCAGUCAACGCCUCGCGUUCGCGAAGAAAAAACCAACUUUGACCAAAAAAUCCUCUACGUGAACGCGACAAGCCACUCGUGAAUGCGAUGGCUCCUCAGCUUGAACCUUCGCGAUCACACUACCUCUCUCGCGAACGCGAUGAACAAACACCUUGAACCCAGCUGCCCAAUUUCCUCUACGCGAACGAUGAACCUCCCUCGCGAACGCGAUGCAUAAUAAUCCAACCCUUCGGGAUCACGGAGCCUUCAUCGCGAACGCGAAGGCUAAAAUCUCAGCCCUCUCAACUAACCCUUCACGAUUGCGGCUCCCCUCUCGGGAACGCGAAUGUCAUUUGUCUGCAACACUGAGCAACAAUUUUCUGCACUUCUCAGCAACAAGAAAUGGUUCGAUUGACCACCCGAAACUCACCGAGGCCCCCGAGAGCUCAACGAAACAUGCCAACAUAUCCCAUAACAUCAUUAAAACUUGUUCCAACAUUUGAAAUGCUCAAAACAACAUCAAAACACCAAAUUCACAUCGGAUUCAAGCCUAAUAAUUCCAAAAUAUUCUAAAUUAUGCUUUUGAUAAAAAACCCAACCAAACCGCGUCUGAAUGACCUGAAAUUUUGCACACACAUCCCAAAUGACACAAAGGAAGUACUUCAACUCUAGGAAUUCCAUUCCUACACCUAUAUCAAAAUCUCACCUAUCAACCAGAAAUUACCAAAAAUCCAAUUUUACCAAUUCAAGCCUAAAUCUACUCCGGACCUCAAAAACUCAUUCCGAUCAUGCUCCUAGGUCCCAAAUAACCUCCCGAAGCUAUCCGAACCAUCGGAACUCAUAUCCGAGCCCUCUAACACAUAAGUCAACACCCGGUUGACUUUUCCAACUUAAGCUUUCUCAAAAGAGACUAAGUGUCUCAAACCUUACCAAAUCCUUUCCGAACCAACCAACCGGUCACAUAUAGAGUCGAUAGACAAGGCAAUAAGAAGCAGAAAUGGGAAAAACAGAGCGGCAACUCAUGAGAUGAUUGGCUGGGUCGUCACAAUUUUAUAAAAUUAAAAACAAUUAGGAAAAAAUCUAUUUGUUGAUUUUUGUGGGAGUAUUUUCAUCGGGCAAAAUUUACGUGCUAACAGCUGCCUAUCUUUGCUCGAAAAUAUGAAGAGUUUUUGGGCAAAGAUAAAGUGAGCAAUUAUGAGUAAUUUUUGCCCGUUGGACACUCCAUGAGAAGUAUUUUGAAAAAGUUUGACCGAACUUUGCUUCGGAGGUUGCCUACAUAUCCUUGGCUAUAAAGGUACCAGGUUAGUGUAUUUCUAGAAGUUUUGUUAGCUGGGACUACCGAAAAAUCUGUGAUUUCACUGCUGUUGCUGCUGUUACUACUUGCUAUUUGCCGAUCUCCUUAUUACACCAAUAUCAAAAAUGAAAAGAAACUAAACAAGCAUAUCAGCUAUGAGUUACAAGAUUACUAUCUAUAAUUCUUCUGAAGUUUGAUCUUGAAUCUUGGCUGGUUCUUUACAUAGACUCUGAUCUGAAUCUUGAUGUUUGUUAGCUGCAGGUGCUAGCUCAUUCUUCUAAAGCUUUUUCUGAUCACAACGGGAAGUGCAAUGCUCGUGACUUCAGUCAUGUCUUGAGCAGUCCAUAUCCAUUUUUCUGCCUCUGGAUUUUGGAUUCUCUCCUUUUCCUUUCUUUUAUUUAUUUUGGAUUGAUAUGUCUUCUUUUUGUCAUCUCGAACCCAUUUCCUCAAGGUAAAAACCUGCUCAGACACCAAAACAAACAAAAUUUUUUCUAUCUCGAUUUUCACUAGGAAAAACUUUGUGAGUUAUUUGUAACAAAAACUCUAUACUAUUUUAUUAUUGAAAGCAAAUAAAAGGUUGGGAUUGGUGUACCCUAAGAAAAAAGAAACUAGGGAGUGGAGACCCUAUGUCUAAAAUAAAAGCAACUAGGGAGUGAAGACCCUAUGUUAGAAAAACGACUAGGGAGUGGAGACCCAAUAUCUAAAAAUAAAAAUCAACUAGGGAGUGUAGACCCUAUGUUGGAAAAGUGAAUAGGGAGUGGAGAUCCUGUGUCUAAAACAAAAUCAACUAGGGAGUGAAGACCCUAUAUUGGAAAAGUAGGCUAGGGAGUGGAGACAGUAUGUCCUAAAAAGAUCAACUAGGUAGUGGAGACCCUAUGUUGGAAAAGUGACUAGGGAGCGGAGGCCAUAUGUUGGAAAAACGACUAGGGAGCAGAGACUCUAUGUCUAAAAUAAAAUCAACUAGGGAGUGGAGACCCUAUGUUUGAAAAGCAGACUAGGGAGUGGAGACCUUAUGUCUAAAAAUAACUUCAACUAGAGAGUGGAGACCCUAUGUUGGAAAAGCGACUAGAGAGUGGAGAACCUAUGUCUAAAAAUAACUUCAACUAGGGAGUGUAGACCCUAUGUUAAAAAAGCGACUAGAGAGUGGAGACCUUAUGUCAAAAUAAAAUCAACUAGGGAUUUGAGACCCUAUGUUGGAAAAGAUACUAGAGAGUGGAGACUCUAUGUCUAAGAUAAACAUCAAGUAGGGAGUGUAGACCCUAUGUUGGAAAGACGACUAGGGAGUGGAGACCCUAUUUCGGAAGAGCGACUAGGGAGUGGAUACCCUAUGUCUAAAAUAAAAUUAACUAGGGAGUGGAGACCCUAUGUUGGAAAAGUAGACUGGAGAGUGGAGACCCUAUGUCUAAAAAUAACUUUAACUAGGGAGUGGAGACCCUAUGUUGGAAAAUGCAGCUAGGGAUUGGAUACCUUAUACUACCAUAAUUUGGAAUUCUCUUUCUUUUCCCUUUUUAAUAAGAAUGAGUAAAAUGCAGGAAAAAAUUGGAAGAAGACUUCCCUUUUUGGAGGGGUUGUUGUGGCCGAGCUAUUUUAGUCUCCGCGCGGUUUCCUUUAGUUGCACCUGCUUCUUGCAAGGUUGCUUUGGAUUGCACCUGCUUCUUGCAAGGUUGAUUUGGAUUGCACCCGUUUGCUUUUUUUUAAAACUGUAAUGACUCGGUCGUUCGUUUCAAGAGUUGUAGCCCCGUUCCCCUAUUUUCUGCUUUUUUGUGUUCUAUAGCUGUAUUGUGACUUACCGGGUUAGCUGGUUCGGGCCCUGAGUGAUUUCAAAAUAAAUUGAGAUACUUAGUCUCUUAUUUGAAAGCUUAAGUUGAAAAAGUUGACCGGAUGUUAACUUAUAUGUAAACGACAUCGGAUUUAAAUUUCGAUAAUUCCAUUAGCUCCGCUAGGUGAUUUUGGACUUGGGAGCGCAUCUAGAUUACUUUUUUGGAGGUCUGUAGAAGAAUUAGGCUUGAAAUGUCGAAAGUUGGAAAUUUUAAAAGUUUGACCGGAGUGGACUUUUUGAUAUCAAGGUCGGAUUGGAUAUCCGAAAGUUGUACUAGGUUCGUGGUAUCAUUUACGACUUGUGUGCAAAAUUUGAGGUCAAUCGGACUAUAGGUUUUGACAUUGUUUGUAGAAUUCAAAAAUUUCAAAGUUCAUUAGGCUUGAAUUCAUGUGUAAUUCGUGUUUUUGAUGUUGUUGGUGAUUUGAAGAUUCAACUAAGUUCUUAUGAUGUAAUGGGUCGUGUUGGCUUGUUUGUUUGAGGCCCCGAGGGCCUCGGGUGAAUUUUGUGUGGUUAAUGGAUCAUUUUGGCCUUGGUGAGAUUGCUGAUAUCUGCUGCUGCAUUUUUCUGGUUUCCUCUUACGCGUUCGCGAGAGGGGCCUCGCGUUCGCGAAGAGUGUUUCUGAGAUGAUGAGGAUUUUGUUCUUCGUGUUCGUGAAGGAGAGGAUGCGAACGCAAAUGUGUGGUCUGCGUAUGCAUCACAAACAUGGGAUCAGGGUCGCGUUCGUGAAGAGGUGAGGCAGUUGGGGACCCCAGGUCCUUGUUCUACGCGUUCACGAGGUAAUGGUCGCGUUUGCGAAGGUUUGAGCUAGUAAAGCAUCAGGUUUGCAAGGCAUGUGUCGCGUUCGCGAAGAGUAAAGCAGAGAAGGGGUCAAGUUGGUCUACGCGAACACGAGAUGACGGUCGCGUUCGCGCAUAAGGAAAUCUGGGCAGACAAUGUUAAAUUAAAAAUCGAUGUUUUGAGUCUAUUUUUCAUAUUUUGAGCUAAAGAUCACAAAUUUGGGCGAUUCCUGAAGGGAUUUUUGAGGAGUUGAUUGGGGUAAGUGUUUCUUGCUUGGUUUUGGUUAAAUACCAUGAUUAUAUCUUUGAUUUUAUCAUCUAAUUUGUGAUUUGGGAUGUAAAAUUGGGGAAGAAGAUGAAGUGUUCUUGAGUUAGAAUUUUGGGGUUUUGAAAGGGAUUUUGUUAUCGACUUUGAGUAAAUUUGGUAUGGUUAGACUCGUGAGUGAAUGGGCUUUCGAGUUUUAUAACUUUUGUCGAAUUUCGAGACGUGGGCCUGGGGGCUAGGUUUGAGCCGAUUUCGGAUUUUUGGCUAUAAUUUGGUACUUUUCUUGUGGUAUUGAUUCCUUUAGCCUAUAUUGAUUGUAUUGUGUUGCUUGUGGAUAGAUUCAGGGUGUUUGGAGGCCGAUUUGAGAGGCAAAGACAUUGCGGAGUAGGUUUUUGCUCGGUUUGAGGUAAGUAACACUUUCAAACUUAGUUCUGAGGGUUCAAAACAUUGAAUUAUGUAUUAUGUGAUUGGUAUUGAGGUGACGCACAUGCAAAGUGACGGGCGUGCAGACGUGCACCGUGAGAAUUGUGGCCUGGGUGAUUCCAUGGCACCAUAUAAUGACUCUAUCCUGUUGAUAUCCAUAGUUUAAUCAUGUGAUAAAGUAAUUGAGCUGUCAAUCAUACUAGAUAUCAUGUUUAGGCUUUAUGCCAGUACUGUUGAGGCCCUAGUGGUCGUUUCUUGAUGUCAUCUUACUAAUUUCAUUAACAUUCUAUAGUCUGUCGUAUUCAUGCAUUUUAUAUCAUAUCUUAGUCUCAGUUAUUCAUUGUUACUCCAUAUCAUUGUUACGGGUUAGUUUCAUGACAUUGUGAGCCCUUGAGUGUGACUGGAGAGAUUUAUGACUGAGUGAGGCUGAGAGCCUGAUUAUGAGUGACAAUUAAGGAUUGGGCUACACGCUGCAACGGUAAAUUGAUUUAUGAUAGCGCUUGGGAUGUAGGAGCCCCUCUGGAGUCUGUAACACACCCAUAGUAAGCGCAAUGGAUACAAUUGAGGGAUGGAUUUCCUUGGAUAUGGAUUUGUCCGAAGUACUUAAUACCAGGAGAUGGAUUUCUCCACAGGGUUGGAUUGCCCUUUUUCCUCGGAACUGGGUGACUUAUAGUCAGUGUUGUAUAUGUUCCAGGAUGGAUUUCCUUGGGAUGGAUGGACAUAUAUAUUACCGAGUGGUUGAACACUUGAGAGUGGGAGCACAUGGUGCAUUUCAUAUGCCACGUGCAUUGGCAUGUAGAGAUAGUUGAGUUAUAUAAUUUACAUUGUUCAAAUAUGUAUUUACCUUAUUGCCUCGAUCUGUCUAUUUAACUUGAAAGCAUGCCUACGUUUCUAUACAUUCAAUUCUAUUAUAUCUGUUGCGCUUGAGUUCAUUACUACCUUUCAGUCCAAUGUUUAGACUCGUUACUUACUGAGUUAGCGUACUCACGUUACUUCCUGCACCUCGUCUACUGAUCCAGGUGAUACCGGUCGCAGCGACGGUUGCUAAUUGAGUUUUUUUAGAGUUUGGAGACUAUUGAGGUAGAUGCACAGUGUUCGCAGGCCUUGACUCUCCUUCUUUAUCAUUGUUGAAUUUCAUUUUAUUUCUCUAGACACUUUAUUGGACUGUAUUCUGGUUUAGACACUCAUGUACUCAGUGACACCCCGAUUUUGGGCUGAAUUGUAUCAUAAUUUGGGAUUUCUUAUGUUUUCAAAUAGUUUUCUUUAAAUGUUAAAUGCUUCUGUUUAUAUUUUCAAACUUAUUGUUGUGUGAUGGGUUGUUAAGUUGAGGCUGACCUAGUUCCACGAUUAGGCGCCAUCAUGACGGUAGAUUUUGGGUUGUGACAAGUUGGUAUCAGAGCCUAGGUUACAUAGGUCUCACGAGUCAUGAGCGGGUUUAGUAGAGUCUUGCGGAUCAGUACAGAGACGUCUGUACUUAUCUUCGAAAGGCUGUAUAACCCUUAGGAAAACUUCACAUUCUUGAAUUCUUGUCGUGUGAAUCUAUUUAUUCUAGUAACUAAACUUCUAUUAUUUUGUUCUCUCACAUAUGGCGAGGACAUGUGCUACCAGGAAGGACGGGCAACCACUAGUUGGGGCCGCGAUAGGCCGAGGUUGCAGUAGAGGCCGUGGUAGGGGCAGAGGUGCAUCCCGCACAAUAGCUAGGGCGGCAUCUGUAGAUCUACCAGUUUCCCUAGUUCAGGGUCAGGUCCUAGUUGUGGAUGUGCCGGUGGGACUAGCUCAGGCACCAAUCAUGCCUAUUGUGAUUCCAGGCCUUCAAGAGGCCUUAGCUCUGAUUUUGAUAGUAUGCACUAGUCUUGCUCAGGCGGUCUCUGUUUCGGCCGCAACAGCCACUUCUCAGGCCAGGAGAGGUGCUCAGACUCCCACCGCCCGUACACCUGAGCAGGUGGUACAGGGACUCCAGACACCGGGGGCACCACCAGCCCAGCCGGUUGCACCUGCUCAGGAAUAUAUAGUUCCUGUCAUGCCUGAUAAUGAGCAACAUAGAUUGGAGAGGUUUGGUAGACUUCAGCGUCUGACUUUCAGUGAUGUAGAGGGCGAGGAUGCCAAGGGUUUCUUGGAUACAUGUCAGGGGAUUCUUCGUACAACAGGUAUUCUGGAGACCAGCGGGGUCUCGUUUACUGCUUUUCAGUUCUCUAGAGCUGCCUUCACUUGGUGGGAGGCUUAUGAUAGGCGUAGGCCAGUUGGUGCAGAGCCCCUUACAUGGCAGCAAUUCUCCGUUCUUUUCCUGGAGAAGUAUGUGCCGUAGUCCCACAGAGAGGAGCUGCACAAACAGUUUGAGCAGUUGCAUCAGGAUGAUAUGACUGUGAUGUAGUACGAGAUGAGAUUUUCUGAGUUAGCCCGUCAUGUUGUUUGGUUGGUUCCCAUGGAUAGGGAGAGGAUCAAGAGGUUUGUUGAUGGCCUCGCAUAUCAGAUACAGAUACUUAUGACUAGAGAGAGGGUGUCUGGUGCUACUUUUGAGGAGGUUGUUGACAUUUCUUGGGAGAUAAAGUCUGUUCUCCGCCAGGAGCAGGUUGAGGGGGAGUCCAAGAGACCUCAUUGAUCAGGUAGUUUUGGUGGUGUUCGUUUUGGAGGUCAGUUUCACCAUGCCAGGGGUCGUCCUUGCAGACACGCUCAGACGGCUCACCCAGUUCACCGUGGUGCAUCAUCUGGCCAUGGUUCUCAUAGUUCUCAUCAGGGCCACUCAUCUCUUAGUGCCCUUCUAGCUCAGAGUUCAACUCAUGCACCAUCAGCUUAGGGUUUAUCUAUGUCUGGUCCUUCUAGCGGGUAUCCCGAUGCUCGGGCUCCCUUCAGUCCCCACCGCCAAUGACCGGUAGAGGUUGCUUUGACUGUGGAGAUUUGGGUCAUAUCAAGAGGUACUAUCCCCACCUUACGGGAGGUUCAUCUCAGUAGAGGAGUCAGCCUUCGACUUCAGCACCGGUUACUUCACCACCCGCACAGCCAACUCGAGGUGGAGCCUAGUCAGCUAGGGGCUGCCCUAGAGGGGGACGGUGAUCAGGUCGCGGUCAGGCCCGUUUCUAUGCACUCUUUGCCAGACCAGAUGCUAUUGCUUCAGACGCAGUAAUCAUAGAUAUUGUCUUAGUAUGUCACCAAGAUGCUUCCUUAUUAUUUGACCCCGGUUCCACCUAUUCAUAUGUAUUAUCGUAUUUUGCUCAUUAUCUAGAUAUGCCCCGUGAGUCUUUAGUUUCAUAUGUUCAUGUAUCUAUUUUGGUGGGUGAUACUAUUAUUGUAGACCGCGUGUACUAGUCGUGUGUAGUGACUAUCGGGGGAUUGGAGACUAGAGUUGAUCUUCUACUACUUAGUAUGUUGAUUUUGGUAUGAUAUUGGGUAUGGAUUGGCUGUCUCGCUACCAUGCUAUUUUAGUUUGCCACGCUAAGACUGUAACGUUGGCGAUGCCGGGGUUGCCUCAGAUCGAGUGGAGAGGUUCUUUAGAUUAUGUUUCCCGUAGGGUGAUUUCGUACUUAAAGGCCCAACGAAUGGUUGGGAAGGGUUAUCUUUCUUAUUUGGCAUUUGUGAGAGAUGUUAGUGCAGAUACCCCUACUAUUGAUUCUAUUCCGGUGGUGCGAGAUUUUCCGGAUGUGUUUCCUGCAGACCUGCUGGGCAUGCCUCCAUAUUGACUUUGGUAUUGAUUUGGUGCCGGGCACUUAGCCCAUUUCUAUUCCACCGUACCGUAUGGCACUGGCUGAGUUGAAGGAGUUGAAAGUGCAGCUUCAAGAACUCCUUAAGAAGGGGUUUAUUAGGCUUAGUGUGUCACCUUGGGGUGCACCAGUUCUAUUUGUGAAGAAAAAAGAUGGCAUCAUGAGGAUGUGCAUUGAUUACAAGCAAUUAAACAAAGUCACAAUCAAGAACAAGUAUCAUUUGCCUCGCAUUGAUGAUCUAUUUGACCACCUUCAGGGAGCGAGGGUGUUCUCCAAGAUUGAUUUGAGGUUAGGGUAUCACCAGCUAAAGAUUCGGGAUUCGGAUAUUCUUAAGACAGCUUUCAGGACCCGUUAUGGUCAUUAUGAGCUCCUUGUGAUGUCUUUUAAGCUAACCAAUGCUCCAGUAGUGUUUAUGCAUCUGAUGAACAACGUAUUUCAGCCAUAUCUCGACUCAUUUAUAUUGUAUUCGUUGAUGAUAUCCUAGUGUACUCUCGUAGCCAGGAGGAGCAUGCCCAAUAUUUGCGAAUUAUGUUGUAGCGGUUGAGGGAGGAGAAACUUUAUGCUGAGUUCUUCAAGUGUAAGUUUUGCCUCAGUUCAGUGGAAUUUUUGGGCUGCUUGGUGUCCAGUGAGGGUAUUCAGGUUGACUCGAAGAAGAUAGAGUCGGUUUAGAGUUGGCCUAGACCGUCCUCAGCUACAAAGAUUUGGAGAUUUCUUGGUUUGGCUGGAUAUUACCGUCGGUUCGUGCAGGGUUUAUAUUCUAUUGCAUCACCUUUGACCAAAUUAACCCAAAAGGGUGAUCCUUUCAGGUGGUCGGACGAGUGUGAGGCAAGCUUUCAAAAGCUCAAGAUUGCCUUGACCACCACUCCAGUUCUAGUUCUACCAUCAGUUGCUGGUUCUUAUACAGUAUAUUGUGAUGCUUCUUGGAUCAAUAUUAGGUGUGUAUUGAUGCAGGGGUAGAGUGAUUUCUUAUGCUUUGCGCCAGUUGAAGCCCUAUGAGAAGAACUACUAUGUUCAUGAUUUGGAGUUGGCUGCCAUAUUUCAUGCGUUGAAGAUUUGGAGAUACUAUCUCUAUGGUGUGUCUUGUGAGGUGUUUACUGAUCAUCAUAUCCUCCAACACUUGUUCAAAUAGAAGGAUCUCAAUUUGAGGCAGCGGAAACGGUUGGAGCUGCUAAAGGACUAUGAUAUUACUAUUUUGUAUCACCCAUGAAAGGUCAAUGUGGUGGCCGAUGCCUUGAGUAGGAAGGUAGUAAGUAUAGGCAGUCUUGCAUUCAUUCUUGUUGGGGAGAGACAUCUUGUGGUUUAUGUUCAUAAUUUGUCCAACCAGCUACAGAGAUUGGAUAUUUCGGAGCCCAAUCGGGUUCUAGCUUGUGUGGUUUCUCGGUCUUCCUUGUUUGAUCGCAUUAGAGAGCGCCAGUAUGAUGAUCCUCAUUUUCUUGUCCUCAAGGACAAUGUGCAGCAUGAUGAUGCCCGAGAUGUGACUAUUGGAGAUGAUGGGGUGUUGAGGAUACAUGGUCGGAUAUGUGUGCCCAAUGUAGAUAGACUUCGGGAGUUGAUUCUGGAGGUAUUCCAUCCAUCCGGGUGCCGCAAAGAUGUACCAGGAUUUGAGACAACACUAUUGGUGAAGGAGAAUGAAGAAAGAUAUAAUUGGGUUUGUAGCUCGAAGUCUCAACUGUUAUCAGGUAAAAUAUGAGCAUCAAAGGCUAGGUGGCUUGCUUCAGCAGAUAGGGAUUCCAGAGUGGAAGUGGGAGCGGAUCACCAUGGAUUUCGUAGAUGGGCUCCUAUGGACUUUGCGAAAGUUCGAUGCUAUUUGGGUAAUUGUGGAUCGGCUGACCAAGUCCCCGCACUUCAUUCUUGUGAGUACUACAUAUUCUUCAGACUGGUUGGUUGAGAUUUACAUUAGAAAGAUUGUUCGCCUACACAGUAUGCCAGUUUCCAUCAUUUCAGAUAGAGGCACGUAGUUCACAUCGUAGUUUUAGAGAGUCGUGCAGCGAGAGUUGGGCACUCAGGUUGAGUUGAGCACAUCAUUUAAUCCUCAGAAGGAUGGAAAAUUCGAGCGCACUAUUCAAAUAUUAGAGGACAUGUUACGUGCGUGUCAUUGAUUUUGGUGGUUCAUGAGACCAGUUUAUGCCCCUCUCAGAGUUUUCUUACAACAACAGUUAUUAUUCGAGCAUUCAGAUGGCUCCGUAUGAGGCUUUAUAUGGGAGGCGGUGUAGAUCCCCAGUGGUUUGGUUUGAGUUGGGCGAGGCUAGGCUAGUGGGUACUGACUUGGUUCAGGAUGCUUUGGACAAGGUUAAAUUGAUUUAGGAGCGACUUCGCACAGUGCAGUCAAGACAGAAGUGUUAUGCCGAAAGAAAGGUCCAUGAUGUGUCUUACAUGGUUGGGGAGAAGGUUCUUGCUAAGGUUUCACCCAGUAAGGGUGUUAAGAGAUUCGGGAAGAAGGGAAAGUUGAGCCCUCGGUUUAUUGGGUCGUUUGAGGUGCUUCGGAAGAUUGAGGAGGUGGCCUAUGAGCUUGCUUUUCCACCAAGCUUAUCGGGUGUGCGUCCACUAUUUCAUGUUUUUAUGCUUCAGAAGUAUAUCGAUGAUCCAUCCCAUGUUUGGGAUUUUAGCAUGGUUCAGUUAGAUGGUGAUUUGACUUAUGAUGUUGAGCUUGUGGCUAUUUUGGAGCGGCAAGUUCGAAAGUUGAGGUCAAAGGAUAUAUCUUCAGUGAAAGUGCAAUGUAGAGGUCAGCCCGUGGAGGAGGCAACUUAGGAGACAGAGCAGGAGAUGCGGAGCAGAUAUCCACACCUACUUAUGGCUCCAGGUAUGUUUCUAGACCCGUUCGAGGAUGAACCUUUGUUUAAGAGAGGGAGGAUGUAACGACCCGACCGGUCAUUUCGAGAGUUGUAGCCCCAUUCCGCUAUGUAUGCAGUAAAACUGGGGGCUCGAUUUCCCCGUCAUUACGUCGCCUCGUGGGCAUGCUUAUUGAGUCUUGAAGCCAAGGUCGAGACCCACCCUUGGGCGUCAUCGGGUAUUGGCCCCAGGGGCAUUGCGUACUAACGACUACAAUAUGGGAAAAGGGGAGUUCCCAAGAUGAACAGAUAGCACUGGCAGAACCUGUUAUCGCAUCUGGCCGUCCAAUCUCCAUGCCCUUACAAUUAAUGCACUCUUGUACUAUGUUUGGAUAUCCCCUCCUAUAUAAGAAGGGUCCUUGGCACUUUGUAAACCUUGUUGCUCAAACUAUUCUGCAUAAGAUCAAUAACAUCUCUCUCUCUCUUUUCUUUCUAACUUACUCGCUCGAAACUACCUCUUUCAUUUAUUGCUUUUACAUUUGUUGCUUUCACAUUUGUUCUUCUUUUAUUGCUCCCCAAAGGUCAUAAAGAGCAUAUAACGAUUAUACUCUAACUGUUAGCCCUUCCUGAUUAUCCCCGAUAGCUCGAGCCCGAGCCCAGGCAUCGACCUCGAGGCCCCUCAUCGGUCAGUACAAGACCCGGAUAGCAAGCCCCUCAGUUUGAUUAUAAUCCUGUUUUAGUUCAUAUUUCGUUGUUAAGCUUCACAUAUCUAGCAUCAACUGCCCUAACAACUAGCAUAAAAAUAGAUCACGUAUUUUUAGAGUCCCAUUAACAAAUCUAAUUGUUAUUAUCAUUUUCACGGUAAACAGUUUGGCCCCCACCGCGAGGCUAAAAAUAAUAGUGAUUAUUUUCUUGCUGGUUUCGUUACAUAACGCAAGGUAUCUUUCACACUUUUUCUUGUCCAAGACCUUCGAUUUCAGGACAAAACAUCUGGCUCAGUAAACAGAAUGGGGAACUAGAACCUUGAAAACAGCAAAGAGAAGGACACGACUACUCCAGAUGUCGGUACACCACCGAACUCAACCCGGGCGGAAGGGGAGGCUCUCCGACAUGUCGUCCACAUGAUUAUUGGAGGAACGACAUUCCCCAAGGACCCAUGUUCAAACGGAUGAGAACGUCCACCACGGAAGAGGGACCAACCCGAAACCGCGUGCCCGAAGACACCCUCGUAUUCAGCGAGGAGGACCUCGAGGCCAUGAUAGGACCGUGUCACACCUCAUUUUUCUAAUCCGAAAAAGGAUAUAUAAUGGAGUUUUCCCAAUUAAAGUGACAAUAAUAGAAAUGAUAUUACAAGCUCAAACAAUUUCCGGAUGCAUGAUUUUUUUGUAAAUAAGUAUUGGGUUUUGUUUAACUAAAUCAAAUGACAAUAAAACUACAAUAUUCUAAAUCAAGGAUAAUUCAAUGGUAAAAAGAUAUUGGGUGUUGAUUUUCCCAAUUGCUUGAUUACUUCUUGACUCCUUUGCUAUAAUCUCACUGUAAUACUCUAUGAGGAUUAUGAGCUAUGGGUUACUGCAAUUAUCUCUCAAUCAACUACGAUAAUUUACUAGAGCAUUCUCUAGAACUACUCUAGCUGAUAAUUUAUGCAGCUCUAAAUUAUCCCACCAAAGUUUCGUUAUCUCUAACCCCACUUUUAAGUUCAAGUAAUGAAUCUCUUCAAUUACCCAAAAGUGGCGUUGUUCAACAGCAAUCUAACGUAGUAUUCUUUCUCAAGCAACACAAGGCAAUUAGACACGAUUAAUCAAGGGCCCAUUCAAUUAAUCACCAUACAAAACAUAGUUGAACAAUCAUAUAAUAAACCCGGCUCGAUUAUAACAAACUUGAGUUAAAACUUCAUCUAACAAUUGAUUCCACCAACACUAGAUUAAAUUUUAGCUACUCAUAGUAAAUCAAGAUAAAACCAUAAAAUGAUUCAUAAUUCGCAAAUAAUGAUAACAAGAAGAAGAUAGAAAAACUCUAAUGGUGUCUUGAUCUUAUCACACUUGUUCUUGCCUCCAAUUCAGUCCAAAAACUAGCUCUCCCUUUACUUGGGCGAGUUUGUUGAGUUUAUAUAGGGUUAGGAUAAGCUCCCCCACGAUUUACACUUUGGCCCUUAAACUUCUUGUCUUCCUCCAGAUCCACCGCGGUGGUUUGCAACAUUCUAUUUUUUUCCCUUCUUUUACCGCGUUCCAGUCGCGGUGGGCUGUUGCCCAGUUUUUCUUUACCUUUUCUUGCUUGUUUUCAUCCGGGCUCUUCUUGAUUGGCCUUGUAACUGCAUAUUUGACCCCAAAACACUCUAUAUUCUUCUCCUAACUUGGAGUACUACCUGCAAAGCAUAAAAACCUCAAUUAGAGCAUUUUAUUAUCAUUUAGCACUUAAAACAUCAACAAAGUAUGGUUAACUUAGAGCAUAAAUAGCGUCUACAUCGUAUAAUAUAGGCUACUAUCAAUCAUAAGCAGCAUCUUAAUGGGGAUAAUAGUAUUUAGGGUCCUUAGGAAGCAUAUAUUAUUGGUUGAAUGCCCAACGGGCCCCCUUCGAGCUCGAAGCCAUCAUGGCUCCCUCUUCUCUCCAAUUUCUGUUCAUCAAACCCUCCAAACCAUUCUGAACGGCCUGUGAUGUGGCCUUAAAGGCAGCAUGACUCAAGAUUCAGCCCGUUUUAACCCAUAUUCUACUACCUCCCCAAUUUUGGUAGCCUCAGCGAACGACUUACCCAUAGUAGACAUCAUGUUCUGGAAAUAAUCCGCCUCUUGGGCUUGUAGGAAGACCGUAACCAUCUCAGCUUCCUCCAUUGAAGGCUUUACCCUGGCAACUUGCUCACGCCAUUUGAUAGCAUAUUCAUAGAAGCUUUCUCUUGUUUUCUUUUUUAAAUUGGACAAAGAGUUUCUGUCAGGAGCGAUGUCCACAUUAUACCGGAACUGGCAGACAAAAUCUCGGGCCAAGUCAUCCCACACAUGCCAAUGGAUAAUUUCUUGAUCCAUGUACCAUUUAGAAGCGAUUCCUGCAAGACUUUCGCUGAAAUAUUCCAUCAAAAGUUCUUCUUUUCCACCAGCACCUCUCAGCUAAUUGCAAUAUCUUUGUAAAUGGGCAAUCGGAUCUCCGUACCCGUCGUACUUUUAAAUUUUGGCAUCUUGAAGCCAGCUGGCAAGUGGACAUGAGGAAACAUGCACAGGUCAGAGUAUGAGACACUCUUUUGACCCCUCAGGUAUUGCAUGUUUUUCAGCCUUUGUUCCAGGCUUUUCAUCUUCCGAGCCAUUUCCUCUUGCUCGGGAUUCCUGACAACCUUUUCUAACUCCAUGGAGAAAUCAUAUUGCAGAGGUUGAACAACGGAGUACGGGGUCACAUAUGAUAUUUCUGGUUGAAACUGUGGACCCUAAAAGGUGAACGUUGGAGGCUCAACAUAUGGUCGUGAUAUAGUUGGUAGAGCCGUGGUGCAGACUGGUGCUGCAGAGAACAUUGCUGGUGGUGACCUUGAAUCCGGUUCUUAGGGGCAAACCACAAAAGGCAUUACGAGGCCGUUAAACGACAUUGAAGGGUACCCGUAUAGCAAGAAUGGGUUGAGCACAUGGGCAUUGGUAGUCUCCCCUGACCUAGGGAUCAACUUAGGGAACCCAGGGAUUGUACUUGGCGGUUCCCUACCAUUAGACCCGGCGUCCCACAUUUCUAUCAUGUAAAGAUGCAUCAUCCUAUUCUCUUCAGCAUUUGCUGAUUCUAGUUGCGAAAUAGCCAAUGCCGGGCUAUCCUCAGGAUCGAUAAUUGGUAAAUGAAUUUCGUAGGCCAUAAGAACCUUUCCUUUGGAUCUUGUGAAGUAAGGAUGGGAAGCCAGAUUACCAACAAAACCAACCACCUGAAUAGAACUUGGCUAGUUAGCACACGUCACAACCUUGUUAGUUUUGAGACUUUUAACAUAUAGGAAAUCACACAUUGAGAUGCAAUGCACCUAACAAUUAAACGAUUCUAUCAUGUAUUUGAACGGUGCGUGUUUCAUCCCGGCCUUUCAAUGUCCCUUUCCACUCUGUACCUCUUUUCUUUCAUUUUCACUCUUUUUUUUGGAUCUUUCACAUCUUGAUUUUUUUUUUCUCUUUUUAUAGUUUUUGCUCUUUGUUUUCUCUCUGUUAUUUUUGGUCACUCUUUUCUUUAUUUUUCAUUCAAUUUUUCUCUCUUUCUUUCUUUUUUAUUUUUUUGGUUUAUUUUUCACUCAAUUAAUUUUACGGCUACGAUCGAAUCUGAUAGGGAUUGCCUACGUAUCAUGACGCCGCAUGAAUCAGAUCAUUAUGUAGUUCAGGAAAAUCAGGAGUGGAGUAAACAAACUAACUCUUUUUUUGUACUUUUUUAUAACACUCAGAUAAUAAAAGUGUUUAGAAAAAGAAUAUAUAUUUUGCAUAUUUUGGGGAAUUUCGCAAAAGAAAGCCUUUUAAAGAGGAAAGAAAAUAUUUUUAGAUUUUUGGUUUUAAUUUUUGAAAAAAAAAGACUUCUAAAGGAGAAAUAAAAUAUUUUUAGACUUUUGAUUUGAAUUUUUUUUUGAAUUUUUGUGAAAUAGACUUCUGAAAAAAAAGGUAGAAAUUUUUCAAUUUUUGAGUUUUCUUUAUAAUUUCCUAAAGCAAACUUGUGAAGAAAAGCGAAAAUAUUUUUGGACUUCAACUUUUUAAUUUUGUGACAUUUGCAAAAGAAGACUUCUAAAAAAUAAAAAUAUUUUUUUAUGGAAUUUUGUUUCUUAUUUAUUUAUUAAUUUUUGGGAAAAAUAAUUUUUAAGAAGGGAAAAACAUAUUUUUGAAUUUUUAUUAUUUAUUUUUUUGUUUUGUUUUUGAAUAAAAGACUUCAAAACAGAAGGAAAUAUUCUUGGCUUUUAUAAAAAAAAAUCUCUUUUUUUGUUUGGGAUUUUCUAUCAAAAGACUUCUAAAUAAGGAAUUAAAGGAAAAUAUUUUUGGAUUUUUGAACAUUGGGGCCGAGACCGACAAGGUUUGCCUACGUAUCUCACAUCUACUAAGAACUAGACCCACAUAGUUCGGCCAGUGUGAGCACGUGAUUUUUGCCCUAUAUGUAUUACUCUAACAAAUUCAAAACAAAAUAAUUUCUUUCAGUGUUUGUAAUUUUGGGGGAUUUUCGUGGCAUUUUCUAGUAAUUGUUUGCAUUUGUCUGUGCAUUUUUAUUUUAUUUACUUAAUGAAAAUUACAAGAAAUAUGUUGCAUUUGCAUUUAGGAUUUAACUUUAUAUUUUUAGGAUUAAUUGACAAAUUAUUUUAUAAAAAUAGGGAAAAAUCACAAAAAAUAGUUUAUUUUGCACUUUUAAUUUUAAUUUUGAAUUUUAGUAGUUUUUCCUUUUAAUUUGGUUUUUAAUUAUUUGUAGUAAUAAUUAUUAGGGCUAGUUAAUUUAAUAUGGUAGGAUAAUUUGGUUUAGAAUUUAAUUUAGGUUUUAAUUUUAAUUUUGGAAAAUAGAAAAAAAAAAGAAUUGUGAAAUUGAAAAAAAGAAAAAGAAAGAAAUAAGAGGAUUUAAAUCUAGGCCAAAAUCAACCCAGAUUUCCCCAUCCCAAACAUAAUCACCCAUGCACCCGGCCGAAACCCACGCCUCACCCGGUCCAAACCCCCCAACUAAGUCAAACGGUGCCGUUUUUUUCUUGUUGAUCUGGACCGUUGAUCUCAGUUGAUCAAACGGUCCGCAACUUAGCCCUUACUUGAUAUAUAUCUGUCCUAACGCCCUACCCCCCCCCCCCAUUUCAUCGUUCCAAACACCCCCGUCUAUCAGAGAACACAAGCCUAACCCCAGCAGUCAGGAGCCCGCCUAAAGAGUAGGGAAUACUUUCAAGCGCAACAGUCAGGAGCCCACCUGGAGAACAAGGGAACACAAUUUAAGUUUUUAGCUUUCUUGUCUAUUUGAAGUCAGGAGCCCGCCUGGAGAGCAGGGAAUACUUUCAAAUGCAGCAGUCAGGAGCCUGCCUGAAGAGUAGGGAAUACUUUCAAGCGCAACAGUCAUGAGCCAUACUGGAGAACAAGGGAGUACAAUUUAAGUUUUUAGCUUUCAAAUUCUUUGUUUUGUCUAUUUGAUGUCAGCAGCCCGCCUGAAGAGCAGGGAAUACUUUCAAAUGCAGCAGUCAGGAGCCCGCCUGGAGAACAAGGGAGUACCAUUUAUGUUUUAGCUUUCAAAUUCUUUGCUUUGUUUAUGUUGAAGUCAGGAGUCCGCCUGAAAAACAGGGAAUGCAUUUCAAGUCAGUAGUCAGGAGCCCGCCUGGAUAGCAUGGGAAAUACAUUCGCAUUUUGAAGUCAGGAGCCCGCCUAGAUAGCAGGGAAUACAUAUCAAGUUCAGCAGUCAGACACCCACCUGAAGAAGGGGAAAACAUCUCAGUUUACAAUUUAAGGUGGCAACAAACGGAUGUCUACGAAAGAAUGGAGAACAACAAGGCAACAAAAAGCACAAGAUCAAGUUUGAAGAUAUAGAUAGGACUUUUGUAAUCCAUAGAUCAUAGUCUAGUCUAGCUUCUUGUUUUAUUUUGACAUGGUGUAAUAAGGAGGUUCAGUAAGUAGUAGCAGCAGCAGCAGCAGUGGAAGCCCAAAUUCAUGGUAGUCCCAGCUACCAAACAUUCCUAAACUACACUGACCUGAUUCCUUUUUAGUGAAGGAUUUGUAGGUAACCUCGGAAGUAGGGUGCGGUCAAAUCUUUCAAAAAUGCUUCACGCGGAGUAUUCAAACGGACAAAAAUCACUCGUAUCCGCUCACUUAUCUUUGCACAAAAACUCUUCGUGUUUUCGGGCAAAGAGGGGCAGCUGAGAGCACGUGAUUUUUGCCCUAUAUGUAUUACUCCAACAAAUUCAAAACAAAAUAAUUUCUUUCAGUGUUUGCAAUUUUGGGGGAUUUGCGUGGCAUUUUCUGGUAAUUGUUUGCAUUUGUCUGUGCAUUUUUAUUUUAUUUAGUUAAUGAAAAUUACAAGAAAUAUGUUGCAUUUGCAUUUAAGAUUUAACUUUACAUUUUUAGGAUUAAUUGACAAAUUAUUUUAUAAAAAUAGGGAAAAAUCACAAAAAAUAGUUUAUUUUGCACUUUUAAUUUUAAUUUUGAAUUUUAGUAGUUUUUUCCUUUAAUUUGGUUUUUAAUUAUUUGUAGUAACAGUUAUUAGGGCUAGUUAAUUUAAUAUGGUAGGAUAAUUUGGUUUAGAAUUUAAUUUAAGUUUUAAUUUUAAUUUUGGAAAAUAGAAAAAAAAAAAGAAUUGUGAAAUUGAAAAAAAGAAAAAGAAAGAAAUAAGAGGGUUUAAAUCUAGGCCAAAAUCAACCCAGAUUUCCCCAGGUCAAACAUAAUCACCCAUGCACCCUGCCGAAACCCACGCCUCACCCGGUCCAAACCCCCCAACUAAGUCAAACGACGCCGUUUUUUUCUUGUUGAUCUGGACCGUUGAUCUCAGUUGAUCAAACGGUCCGCAACUCAGCCCUUACCUGAUAUAUAUCUGUCCUAAUGCCCUACCCCCCAUUUCAUCAUUCCAAACACCCCCGUCUAUCAGAGAACACAAGCCUAACCCUAGUUGAGCCGCCCCUAAAUCCGCCAUCGUCCGGUGGCGGCACCACCUCCAAACGCCACCAAAACAACACCCCAUGACCCCCCACUCCCCUCUUUCUAAAUUCCGGACCAAUUUCCUUCGAAUCUGCCCAGAACUUCUCGAAUCUUGAUCUGAAGAAAAGAACCCUAAAAUCCCAAAGUCCAAAUCAACGGGUGUGCUAAAGAUUUCAGACUGUAAUGGACUUUAUUCGGGUUUUUUCACAUGAAAACACACGAUUAAGGGCUAUUCCGGUCAGGAAUUUGAAAAGCCCUUCAAAGUUUGUCGAAUCGGCUCCUGGCUGGUGUUAGGUAUCUUCUUUGUUCGUUUUGUUUAUUUGUUUAUCUUUUCUUUUGUGUUUCUGCUUCAUCUCUUCUUCUGGGUUUUGUUUAGUUGUUCCGGAGUUUUGUUAUUCAUGCAUGAUUAGUUCGGGAUCCUUUUUUAAUUAGUUAAUCGUCUAGUAGUUCAGUUAAUUCCCUCUAUUUGUGUCAGUUAGUAGUAAUUUAGUUUAGGGUCUUAGUUUUAAAAAUUGUUCCAGUACUUGGAUGGUUCUGUCUCUCAGAAGCUCAUAGAAUUUAGGGUUGUUAAUGUACGAAUUGGGCUUUAGUCUGUUGUUGACCCAUCUCGAAAAUGUAGCCCAUUUAAUUUGGUCUAUAUCCUUGGGUCUAUUUGACCCGUUUGGAUUUCUGAAGUAAUUUUCAAAGGGUUAAGGGGUAAAUUAGGUAAUUGAUUUAGGGAAUCUAGGGUGUAACUGUUUGGGAAGCUUCUGGGAAGCUGGGGAGGGGACUACUUUGCAAAAGCAGAAUUUAAACUAGGGGUGUUUAAGCUAAAAGGAAAAUCAAAAAAGGGACCAAAGGGCAAAAAUGAACUCUUAAGGCUGCCCUGUUUUCUUGCCUAUAAAGGCAUCAUUUUCUUGCCUUUCAAGGCAGACCCAGGAGACUUGAAAAAGAAUAAAAAUUCUAGAAAACAAAAACAGCUGAAACUUCUACAGAGAAUACUGUUUCAUUGGGUUUUAGCUUUGUAAUCUGAAAUCCUCUUCUUUCUGAAUAGAUGUUCCUGAUUGUUUGAGCUUAGAAAUGGUUUGAAACUUAGUCAUUAAGGUUGGUUCUGAGGGCAGCUAGUUUAAUUGUGUGUUUGAGACUGGUUUCUGGGCUGCAAUACUUCAUUUCUGGGCUUUUGAACAUGUUUUGUUGGUCUGUUUCUGUUACUGGAACCUGCUGCUGAUUCCGUGUUGUCUACUGCUGAUUUUCCCUUUUUCUUAUUUCGUUUAAUUCCAGGUAUUCCUUGAUUCUAUAGGAGAUAAAAUGCAAGUAUGAGAGCUAUAAUUACAUGAAGAUCUCCAUGAAUGAAUACUGUUUUCCUUUUUUUAAUCAUCAAUAUUAGCUGUUUACUUGGAAUUUCUGGAGUUUAGUGGUAUAUUAUAAUGGCAUUUAGCCUAAUCUGUCCAUUUUAAUAUAACAGUAGUAUGUUACUCCUUAGAAAACUCAUGUUGCCUUUCGUUUGUGAUGAAAACACAUGGUCUGAUGGUUUGAUUGUAUGUAAGUAGUUCAGAACAUUUGGAUCUUGUAUAUAGGGACUGUGAUUUAAGCCAUUCACUGUUUGUUAUGCAUAUUUUCAAGCAUGUGGUUAGACUCUGUUGAGUUUUAGCUUAUUAUUUAGUUUUUGUCUGAAAUCAGAAUGCAUGCGAUUAAAAGGGGUAACUGCCUGCUUUGGUGGGAAUAAAAUUUUAUGAAUACUGGUCUGAUUGGCAUAAGUCUCUGGGUACUCAAGGUAAUUGGGUGCAUGCAUUGGGUUGAGAAUGAAUUUUUGACUUGUUUAGAUAUGUAAAAACUUUCUAUGGUAGGAUAAGGUCAAAAUGCAUUACUCAUUAUGAUACAAGUUUAAAACUAGAUCAAACAUGCUGUCCAUGAUGAGAAUUCCAUUGUCAUUGCUUGCUAAGAAAAACGAGCCCAGAGGUUGUUUGCACACAUAUUGGUUUUUUUUAUUGUUGAAUAUCGCUGGUUUUUGGCCAGCCGAGACUCGAUACUGAGUUCUCCACUCAGACCUGUUGAGGCUUCGAAAUUGGGCUCAUUUAUGGGCCCAAGCUUAACAGCUUCUUUCGAGUAUGAUUUCGGUCGUAAUUGCGGCCCAGUCAUGCCCAGGCCUUUCACUAGCCUUUCUGGCUCUGGACUUCACAUAGGAAGCCCAUUUGUGGUCUUUGAUUGUUAAUUAAACGACCAUAGGGAACUUUAACUUCAUCGAGUGCUAAAUAAUUCAGCCUUUAAAACAAUUGAGGUGAACGAUGUUAAUGACGCCAAUAGUUUAUGGCCCUCAUAAUUUUAAAAAUAAAAAUUUUAGGCAAUUAGAUUUGAGGCGUGCCAUUUAGCGAUUUCCCAGGGCCCUCGUAAAAUUAAAAUGCGUAGUCGCUUUAGGGCGCGUUAUUUAAUGAUUUUACUUUCUUAAACUCGGGUGCGCAUUUCAUGUGACCCAAGUCAAAUCUUAAAAUAUUGAAUGAAAUAUAUUUAGGACUGCGGGUGCAUUUCAUGUGGUGCGAUCCAAAGACGUGUUUUAAACGACGUUCAAUCUUCUUUUUAAAAUAAUUAAAAACGGUUAAAAGUUAAAAUUAUACCAUAUGUUAAAACAUGUACUAAAAUCAGAUAAUAGACCAAUUAUAACAGUUGAGCGACCGUGCUAGAACCACGGAACUCGAGAAUGCCUAACACCUUCUCCCGGGUUAACAGAAUUCCUUAUUCGGAUUUCUAGUUCGCGGACUGUUAAACAGAGUCAACCUUUUCCUCGAUUCGGGAUUUGAACCGGUGACUUGGGACACGAUAAAUCUCUCAAGUGGCGACUCUGAAUCUUUUGAUAAAUAAAUCCCGUGUCGAUUCUCCUUUAAUUGGAAAAACUCUUUUUAUACACCCCUCUCGGGGGUGUAGGUGAAAAAGGAGGUGUGACAACCAGUUUUGAUGGAACAGGGGGAACAUGACUUUUUGAACACAUUGGCUUAUUUUUUUUUGUCUUUUUUUUAAAAAAAAAAUUCGGUAGAGUUUCGGAUUUCAAAUACCUACCUAUCACUCUUUUUUUUCAUUUUUUUUCUUUUCCUAUUCUAGAAGCCAGUCAACAUGCAAGCCGAAACAAAAAAAUGCACAGGUAACACGUAAAAUGCAUCAGGAUAGUUUUUUUAAUUUGGGCACACCUGUCCUAGACGGAUCCAACCCCUGCGUUGAGUCCCCAAAGUCAAAUGCAUGUGAUGCAAACAAACGUUCCUACUAGGAAUCCAACAUGAGGCUAUGUUAUUCUAAGAUUAAAUCCUGGAGUGUAUUGUUCUAGACCUGGCUUACCCGAGCGGACAACUCGAGCCGAUGAGGGGCAGUGUACAGGGAAUAUAGAAGCUUCACCAGCUUUGCAACUUAUCCGAUCCUCGUUCUAAAAUUAGGAUAUGACUCCAACAGAAAAAAAAGUCAUGCCAGAGUACACUUCCCAGAAGAUUUUGAAGACUCAGAGAGAAGAAGGGUUUCGUAACAGUUUUAUAUACAGUUCACAUAAUAUCAAAGCGGCAUUUAGCAUAUUAGGAUCAAACACGUAAAAAUCAGAUAAUAAGCAAAAGCAAAGUAUCACAGUUAUUCUAAAAUCGAAUUAUGAACCAUGAACCAGAGAUUCUGGGUUUGAUUCUCCCAGCAGAGUAGCCAGAUCUGGCACACCUCAUUUUUCCCGAGGGGUAGGGAGUUUUUUCAAUUAAUGUAUCAUUGUUCGAAAUGAGAUUAUUUAUUGAUUCAGAGUCGCCACUUGAAAUAAUUUAUGGUGUUUCAAAUCACCGAUUUAUUUUAAAUACCAAAUCGAGGAAAUUUGACUCUUAUUUAUGGUCUGCGAAUACAGAAGACCGAGUAAGGAAUCUUGUAAACCCGGGAGAAGGUGUGAGGCACUCCCGAGUUCCGUGAUUUUAGCACGGUCGCUCAACUAUUAUUAAUUGGCCUAAUUAUCUAAAUUAUUAUAUGGUCAGAACCUAUUGUGUAUUUUUAACUUUCUAACCGCUUUUAUUUAACCAUUUUUAGUAUUUAUGGAAUAUGUUUGAAUAAGCCGCGAUGUCGCGCACUCAUUUGUUUUUGUAAAAACUGCGAAUCCAUCACGUGAAAUGCACCCACGAUUUACAACAUGUUUAUUUUAUUAUUAUCUGAUGUUAUGGUCGAGUCAUGUGAAACGCACACUCGAAUUAGGAUUUUGUAUCAUGACUAUGCCACGGGAACCGUACCCAUAGUCACGAUGAUUUAUUAAUUGCGCAUAAAUCAAGCUUGAUGUUCAUGAAUAAUUAUUAUUCCUAUGUUUAAGAUCGAUCAUGAAGGUCCAAAGUUUAUGGAAAAGCAUAUGGCAAUGCUUAACUAGACAACUUCAAUUAUUUAACAAGUUCAAAUUAAUGUCUUUUGUUUUUCCUUCAAAUGUUGAUGGAGCUCACGUCAAACAAGGAAAACCACUAAUAAUAAACUAAGUGGGUGUUCUUUUCUUGAUUACUUAUAUCAAACAUGGAUUAUUGCUAGAAAAAUUAUGGGAAGCCUCACUGCGCUGGGCCUUCAUAUUAAACCUCCAAUUAGGUCAUGCAAACAAGAACAGAAAUGGGUUCACUGGAAUCCGAAAGUGACUCUUGAAAAUGGCUAGCCCUUUAAGUAGGCCAACAAAUCUUUUGUGGGGCCUUAAACCAUUAAUCCAUACAUUUGUCGAGUCCAAACUGACUCUCAUUUCAUACACGAUCCAUCGACGUGUAGUUUUCUUAACGUGAUUUUGAAAGGCAUAAAUCAAUUAAUACACAUGUUUAUACUACAACAUAUUCAAUAUAUUGAAGAAACAGAACCAAAGAAGAACGUAUCCACACAUGUAAUUUCUUCUAACAAACUACAGUAUCAUUCAUUAUUACAUUCACAAUUACCAAGAUCUAGAGCAUAUAACAAAUUUACAUGCUUUCAGUUCCAUAUGACCUUCAACGAAUGACCUUCAGCUAUCCAAAUUUCCUAUGACUUUACCUGUUUCUCAUUAAAGAUUUAUCCAAAUACUUAAUUUUUCUAGUAAUUUCAGAGAUUAAAAAAGGAAAGAACUUCAAAUAGAUUUAGACUUUAGACAUGUUGAAUCCAAACUAUUGAACAUGAUUAGAGAAAGCAGUAUCAUAAUCUUAACAUGGAAACAAUUCAAAAUGCUUAACAACUACACAUGCUAAGUCUAUGCAUUUGGACAUAAUUAUGACAAAUAGAUCGAAUUUUCUCAUAUAGACUUCAAACAGGGGCAACAGAUAUGUGAACAUACCUAAGUAACCAAAGAAUAACAGAGAAUGGUCAAAGGAUGGUUUGAAAAUGAAAUAGGAAAUCCAGCAAGUCCAGCAGCAGUGGAUUCAAUAACUUCAACACCUCUAACAGCUCAAUCGACUCAGAGAAAACCAGAAAAUAUAGUGAUUGAAUAGAAAUCAGAAAACCAACUCUAGACAUCCUUCUUCAUCCCUUUUUAUGACCUUUUUCCUUGCCUUUUUGGGAGUUUUAAACUUUUUCUAAAUCUGAAGACUAGAGGUUGAAAUCCAGAGUUUUGUUUGAAUUAAAAAAAAUGAGGAGAAGAUAGUGAAUUCUCUUAAAAUUUCUCUCGACAGUGUGAAAAUUUGUCUCAAAAACGAAGAAAAGAGUAUGAAUUUCAGAGUGUGUUUUCGUGUGUGUGAGUGAGUAAUAUAUGGCCCUCUUAUAUAGAGUGUGAGAAUAUGUUAU
rnacentral:lncRNA from 1 species